rnacentral:lncRNA from 1 species
CAGUCAUCUGACCAUCCGUGCCCCUGAUACAUCUGUUCCUGCCUCUCUGUCGUCUGAUGAUGGCUGACUGAUAAAAGAACCCGGUGUUUCGAUCUUCCUUCCUGAUCCACUGGACUCGUGACUUCUGCCCCUAGAAAGUCUCCUGCUGACGAAGAAGAGAGUCAUGGGUGGACAGGUGGGAUCUCAGCUCACCCAUCUCCUCAGCCGAUAGGCCGCCCCUCUGUACCUUCAGAAUUUGCAAUCUGGAUAUAGCUACCUCGGACUCCUCGACCCUUUUGAAAAUGUUCUUCAAUGGACUUGUCUUAUCCAAAAUGCCCUGAAAGACCACCCGCAUGCACUUCCCACAUUAAGAAAUCUCGUACUGAGGUUCGUGGAAUAUAGAGCUUGGUUUUCUUAAACAAAUAACCAUCUUGAAGAUGAAAAUCGUCAAUCAAGGGUCCCUGUCCAUCAACGAGGGCCUUGUAGAGUUUCCGAAAAUCAGGGCAAGAUAAGUAGUCCUCUUUGAGUUUAUCAAAGCCCGUGAUUUUGACAUACAUGGUCGAGAGCAAGGCUACCCGAAGACUCAGCGCAUCAGCAACUUUGUUUGUGACGCCUGAUGUGUGCUUCAGGAUAAAAGUGUAUUCCUGGAGAAACUCAAUUCAUUUGGCAUACCUAGAAUUCAACUUCUUCUGAAAAUUGAGGUAACGAAGAGCUUCAUGAUCAAAGUAAAGGACAAAUUCAUUAGGCAGCAGAUAAUGACGCCAAUACCAUAGAGCCUGGACUGCAACAUAGAAUUUUUUGUCAUAGGUAGAAUACUUCUAUUUAGUCUCAUUUAGUUUCUCACUAAAAUACGCUAUGGGAUGACGUUCUUGGCUGAGUACUCCACCUAUACCGAGGCCAGAUGUGUUACACUCCACCUCAAAUACCUUGCUAAAGUCAGGGAGUCGCAUAAUUGACGCCUCAGUUAUCCUCUUCUUGAUGUCACUGAAUGCUUUAGCAGCAGCGCUAGUCCAAUGAAAAUCGCCUUUCUUGAGGCAAUCAGUGAUUGGGGAUAUAAUCGUGCUAAACCCCCUAAUGAAACGACGGUAGAAAGUAGCAAGCCCAUGAAAAUCGCGAACCUCACUAAGAGUUUUGGGCUCGAGCCACUCUAUUGUCCCUAUGACUUUUAUCAGGGUCAGCAGACGAGCCCUCUGAGGAAAUAAUGUAACUUAAGAAGUUGACGUGAGAAGUGAAUAAGAAACACUUUUUGAGGUUGGCAUACAGAUUCUCAUUCCUUAGGGUUGUGCAUACCUAUCUCAAAUGAGCCAAGUGCUGCUCCUUUGAUUGGCUGUAAAUGAGGCUGUCAUCAAAGUACACGAUUAAAAAUUUGCCCAUGAAAGGUCGCAAUACAUGAGUUAUCACCCGUAUAAAAGUAAUAGGAGCAUUUGAGAGGCCAAAAGGCAUGACCAACCAUUCAUACAGGCCAUUUUUCAUCUUGAAAGCAAUUUUCCAUUCAUCCUCUGGGUGAAAUUGGACUUGAUAGUAGCUACUUUUCAAAUCAAUCUUAGAGAAGAUUGUGGUGCUUGCCAUCAUAUCCAGCAUAUCAUCAAGUCGAGGGAUGGAAAAAUAGUACUUGACCGCGAUUCUGUUGAUGGCCCGACUGUCAAUGCACAUUCUCUAAGAGCCAUCUUUCUUUGGGGUGAGGAGUGCGAGUACAACACAAGAACUUAAGCUCUCGCGAAUAAACCCUUUUCAUAUGAGCUCAUUGACUUACCGUUGUAGUUCAGCAUGCGCAAAAGGAUUCAUUCGGUAGUGGGGCAAGUUAGGAAGAGUCGUUCUCGGAACCAAAUCGAUGGUGUGCUGAAUGUCACGUAGGGGUGGCAAAUGAUCUGAGAGAUCUUAUGGAAAAACUUCUUGAAACUCUUCAAGGAAAGAGAGGACGUCGGCUGGUGGUUCGCUCUGAUUGUGGGGGUGAACUACUUUGACAAAUAGAGCGAACACCAAAGAUUCGUUGAACACUUUCUGCUCAAAUUCAGCGAGACGCAGGAUGUGGAGACUCUUGUCCUUUGACACUUCUUUUUUCUUGUGCUUGUCAGGUGCCUUGGGCCGCAAAGGAUUGAGUUUUAUUUUUUUGCCCUCGAACACGAAAGAACAAGAGUUGGAUUGACUAUAGAUAGUGACAUCAGGGUCGAAUAACCAAGGUCGCCCCAAAAUUAGAUGUUCCACAUCCAUCGGGAUUACGUCACACCAUAUGGUGUCUUUGAGAAAGGAUGUGAAUGGGCACAAGACAUCUUUCUUUGAUGUGAAUAGAAGAUGUGUCAAUCCAAGAGAUCUUAUAGGGUUGUGGUUGGAGAACAGGAGUCAAAUUUAAGUGUAAGAUGAUGCUGGAGGAUAUUGCAUUAAUGUAACUCCCGCUAUCAAUAAUGACCUUACAAUCUUUCUCUCCGCACUUAAUAUAAAUAUGAAAAAUCGAGGUUCUUCUCCAGUCAUCAGUCUUUUUGGGUUCUGCGAGGGCACAACUGACUACACUCAUGGUAGACUGGUCAGACUCUCUUUGAAGGUGCAAAUGAUAUAGGUGUAGUGCAGAUGCACCCUAGGGUAUCAGGUCCUUCGUCACACUCCUCAUCAAUGUCCUAAAUGUCAUCGAGAUUUGGUUCAUAGACUUGCUCUUCCAAAUCAUCUGUAUCACCUUCCUGCUUUUGCUGAUCAAUAACGAGAGAUUUAUUAGCACAUUGGGAGGCAACGUGACCAAAACUUUGGCACUUGUAACACUGAAUUCUAGAAUUUGGUUUGGGAGGCUCACCAAAGACUCUCUUGCCUUUGGUGUCUCGGCUUGGGAUAGGGGCGGCAGAAGGGAGUUUAGGGGCAGAGGACCCCACAUAAGGUUUGGGCCUCGAAGAAUGAGGAUUAGUGGAAGUGCUCCGAAUGUCAGAGCACCUCACAAACAUGGACUUGGAGACCUGUUCAUAGUUCUGCACAAAUGUAGAGGUCUGGUCUAAAAUGGACACCUCUCGGAGGACAAGUUUCUUUCUGAGUUUAUCAUUGAGACCUCUUCGGAACCGACUCAGGAUCAUCCUUUCAUCCUCAAUCACAUUACAUCACAUCAUGUAUUCAUCAAAUUGGGCAAUGUAGUAAGUGGCUGAUAGGGUGCCUUGUCUUAAGUUGUACCAUCGGUUGAGGAAAUCAUUUUUGUAGCCAAGGGAUAGAUAUUUUCUUUGAGUUUUUCUUUUAUUUCUAUUUAGUCAGUUAUGGCAAGUUGAUGUCUUCUGGCUAGAAGCUGUUCGGUGCUUUGCCAGAAAAGCUUAGCUCGACCAAUGAGCUUCAUUCUGGCAAACCGAACCUUCUUUUCUUCAGACAAAUUAUACCACUCAAAGAAGAGGUCGAUCUCAUACAACCAGUCAGAGAAGACUUUGGGCCAAGGCGACCAUCAAAAGUGGAGGCUUCAACCCAAAUGCCUCUCAUCACAUCUUCAUUAUGGUCACGAGGCUCUCUGGGUUUCUAUAUUGUAUUGAUAACCCUUAUCGACAUUAGGGAAGGGACCCGAACCUCUGUGAUGAGGGUAGGCUUGAGGACGGCCUGGGAAAGGAUUAGUGUCAAAGUUGCCCUGUCGAACAGGUCCCCGAUGUUUUAGGGCUUCAUCCUCACCCUCUAGGCCUUCUAGGUGGAAGAUCCAAUAAUCCUCUGAAGAAAAACCUCAACCGAGUCUAGUCGGGUAUGGACUUGGGUAGACACUGUGGUCAAGUCUUGGACAGCCCUUAGCAAGGCUUCGAUGUUGGAUCCAUGGCAAGUUGAAAUUCUGAAUGGGAGACAACAUGACCACUACGAACUUGCAUGUAAUGAGUGUGCAAAGUUGUGCAUGACCCUACAAUGCUAAGACAGUGGCAAUUCCUAAAUGGACCUAAUGCAUGAAAAUGAUGCCUAGAGUUCACUGUAUAUGCUCAACAUAAAGUGAAAGCUAAUCCUUAGCAAAUGAAGUCAAGUAGGGAAUCAUGUAAAAAGUGCAAGCAAGUAACUGGAGUCAAAUAGUGCCAGUAUUCCGUGUGUUGCAGGGUAUCACGGAGCCUCAAAGAACUUCCAAAGAUUAGGCAGCCCAAUGAUUAAUAGCAAAGAUGGGCCACUACAAGGGUUUCUCAGGUUGUUUGGAUGUAUGUGUUGAAUUCACAGUAAGAUAAGCCAACAAAGCACACAAGAGCUCAUAGAUGCUGAAUUUUAGAUGGGCAGAUAGAUUUUCUAAAAAAAAAGGGAUCUGACUUGGGCUAGAGGCGACAACCAGAAGCUCGUUGUAGCAAGUGGGCUUUUCAAAUGGCUCAGAUAGGGCUUGAUUGCAGCAGCUCGGUGGGCCUAAUCACAGCAACUCGGUGGACCUAAUCUCAGUAGCUCGUUGGACCUGAUCAAAGCAGUUUGGUGGGCUUGAUGACAGUGGCCCGUUUGAUUAGAAGAGAGGGUGGGGGUGGUGGUGUGCGGUGGUGGGUCUGAUGAUUAGAAGGGGGUGGUGUGCGGUGGUGGGCCUGAUGGGCUUGACGAUUAGAAGGAGGGGAUGGUGGUGUGCGGUGGGUGUGAUGCUAAAAACCCCUGAGGGACGAAAAGAAAAGAGGGUUGUGGGGGGCGAGAGCCAUGAGGAGCGAUCGAGAAAGAAGAAUAGGGGGGGUGGAAGGAGAAGACGAGGGAAGGAGUGGGGAAAAAGAUCAUUGGCAAGAAAAACUCUCCACUCGGAGGAGGUGCAGCUGAACUAGACGAGGUCCAAGAUGUGGCAAGCGCGGCAAAGCGAGAUGAGACGUCGCUCGGAGGACUACAAAGGAAGAGGAAACGAUGGAGCCCUCAGCUCGGAGGAGGCGUGGCUGGACCAGUAGGUCGCCGGUGUAGCAGGCGGUCGAUGAGGUCGGUUGGGGUGGCGGAGUUUGGGUGGUUACUACCCACCGUCCGACGGCGGAGAUGGGGAAGGGGCGAUGGCCGGCCAAGCGGACCUUGACACCGGUGAAGGCGGAGGCAACGCUACAGGGGAGAUCUCGAAGGAAGAAGGUGAAUAGUGCUCUUUUCUUUCUUUUCUUUUUUUUAAAACUCAGAUCUGAUAGGAUUCGGGUUAACGGGCACAACCCGCUCCGGUAACCCAUUACACGCCCGAUACACCUGUCACGUGCGUGACUUAAGGGUCAUGUGCGUGUUUAUUUUUUUCAAACCGAAUGGACUCGGGUUAACGGGCGCGACCCGCUCCACUAACCUGUUAUAUACCCGCUAUGUUCUUCUCCUUCGCGGUUCGUUGUAGACGGUUACACUGGUUUCCGCGGUGACCGGCACGUGGAGCGCGGCGGCGGUUGGAUGCAGGGCGACGACAUGGCGUCUGGGCUUUCGGGAGCGGCAGAGAGGCGUAGGAGAUGUCGGACCGGGGGGGGGGGCGGGAAGGAGAAGACGUAGAUUAGAGCUUCCUCGGACAUUCCCGGUCCCGAUUUUCUCUUCUCAGAUUGGCUUAAAUCUCGCAGGAAAAGGCCUUUUGGCCCAAGGCUGAAUUGCAGAAGAAGCAGAUCUGGCUGGAAAAAUCCCUCCGUUUCGAUUUCUUUAAAGUUUCUGACGAGGGUUGCCAAUUGAGUACCUCGGAGGAGUCGGUCUUCAGUACCUUUCUGGCAAAAAUCUGUCGAGAAGACUCCUAUAUAUAAGACCCAAAAUGCAAAAAAGACUCUUAUGAAGAAACUAAUCUCACAAAAUAUCCUCAAAGAUAACAAAAUAUCUAAAUAAGCCUAAAGGCUAUCAAAAUAAAAUAAAAUCACUCUAACCACAAUGAAACUGGCUGGACCAUCCUCCUGCGGCGACUGUAGACCCGAAUGACGGGUGAUCUGGUACUGGUGUCUGCACCAGUGUCUAAAUUGCUUAUUGCUGCCUCUUUAUUUGUCAUCUGAAUUUGUAAAAUAUUCACAAGAUAUUUUUUUCCGCAACAUUUGUUUCAUCAUAUAUUUGAAACUUGAGGGCAAAAUCUAUGAGACAAUGUUAUGGUGGGCAAGGUUGUGUAUACUUCAGUUAUCAAGAAGUAAUGGUGCAUUAUAUACGACAGAUUGUAGAGAGGUAAUACGAUGAUGAAGGGAACCUGCUUGAGAUGGAUUCUAUCCAACAAAGCCAGAGACCUGGAUAGGAACCUAAAUUAACAACCGAAGGGGAUGAAAUGAAGAGGUAUAGUCCUACACGACAUUAAGCUGGCUUUAUAUUACUAAAAGCAAGCUCAACGGUGAUGUUUCAGCAUCCCAUAUUUUUUAAGGUUUUCUCGAUGAAUGUGGACAUGAAGAUAUAUUAUUAAUUUUUACCUGGAGACUGUAUCUUCUUUUCCAAUGUCUUUGUUAAGGGGAGAGCUUUUUAUUAUUUUAGACAUAAAGGAUCACAAAUUUGUCUCUCUCAUGUUAAAUCAUAUUCCCAUCAUUCCUCUUUUUUUUUUUGGCUGAAACAUAUGCAGAUAUCUUUGAAAUUUGUGUUUUUCCAUGAUUUGAUUGCUAGAAAUCAGGGAUGGGCUUGCCAAACCUCGAGGCAACAUUUGAAACUUUAGUCGAUGCUUUUGUAUUAUUAGACAAGAAUAAAGAUGGUUAUGUCAGCAAAAAUGAAAUGGUGGAUGCCAUAAAUGAGACUACUGCAGGUGAACGCUCAUCAGGAUGCAUAGCCAUGAAUAGAUUUGGUAAGUGCUUUCUUGUUUUCUCUGUUCAUACGCAUAUUUGUGUGAGCUCAUGCACGUCCACAAGUACAAGCACCAUUUCUUCAUGACAUUCAUUUACCUGAACUCAUGUGCAAACUGUUUCAACUUUUAACCCUAAAUUUUGGGUUACACCUACCUCAUCUAUUAAAAAAUUGCCUUUUGGUAAGCGUAAAUGUAUAAGAGCGAUUUAUUUGACUGCUGAUGCUACAUUUAGUUUUAUGGCUCUAUAGUUUUCUUCAGCAGAUGUAUAAAUUGUUGAGCAAUUCUACUGACUUAUGCUCCUGCCUCUUUUUUUUAACCGCAUGGUGGAACACCACCUUUAUAUUACUGCUUAACUUAGAUGGCUCACAAAACAUGGCAUAAAUGUGAUAUGUUCAAAAUGUCCCCUUCAGGUUGUCAAGUUGAUGUCCCAUCGGAAAUUCUAAUUAGGCACUGUAUGAAAUUUAAAUGUCAAUAUGUUAUCGAGAACCGGUUCUUUCACAAGACACUGACAGCAUUGUCCUUUGGCCCUUCAAAGAGUCAUUUUGAAGCUAGUCUCUUUUUUUUCUUUUUCCACUCUCAUUGAUUGAAAUAAUUGAAGUUUGUAAUCAGGAAUAAUGACAGUAGUUUUUCAUUUUGUCGUCACAGAAGAAAUGGACUGGGACAAAAAUGGAAUGGUGUCCUUCAAGGAAUUUCUUUUUGCUUGCACUCGUUGGGUGGGGAUCGAUGAUGUUGAAGAAGAGGAUGAUGACGCUAAAUGAGUUACAUACUUGCUACAUGCGCGAUCGCAUGCCAAAAAUACUUCAUCCAGGAGCACAGGAAAGCAUAUUCCCAGAAAGGUUAGCAGGCUCAAGAAAAAGAAGAAGAAGAUAGUGUGUUUUGAACAGUGAAGUCAAUCGGUCAAUAUCCCUAUUUGGUUUAAUGAUAUUUGUGUAAAUAUACUGACAGAGGUUAAAUUUUUGUUGCAUUGUUAUGAUGCUGGAUAUAUUGAUUUAUUCCUCUGUAGUUAUACCUUUGAUGCCAUCAUUACCUGAAGCAUUGUUGAGUUGCCCAGCAUAUGCUUGUCUUAGUAUGAGCAUGGGAUAUGGAGUAUACAACCAUGGGAGUGGACUGUUAUUAAAGAGAACUAGAUCACUGUAUAUCGCUAAAAAAAUUAUAACAUUGUAUAUUCUGAGUUGUCCAGCAAUUAGGCUUAUUACCUAGAGAAGCUUGUAUGCUUCCAAUUUUAGUCUUCUGCAUGGAUGAAGAGACUGGUGCACUCCUUAGCAAAACAAAGUGACUGAGUUAAUUGUUUGCAGUUACAGCUGCAUGUUGCUGCUUGGUUUUUCUCAACAAAGGGUAUAACUUGAGAGCUGAAGACUGAUCAACAAGUGCUUUAUCUUUGAAUUGAUGUGCGAAUCGGUAUACACAUCAAAAAGAAGCAAGGAAUAUCCUAAAUGAUCAGCAACACAAUGAUUUCAGUUAAUGAAUGCCAUAGCACCUGGAGCUGGCAUGUAGUAAAGGGUACUCAAGAAGGAUUCUGUAUGAAUUCCUACUAGUGCUGCUCCUGCACUCUGACAUAUACCAUAACAAAAAAUCUUUAAGAUUCUCGAGGGAUGGAUUUGCCUCACAAACUCUCAGCCUGCAUUAUGCUGCUAUGCACCUGUUCGACAGGUUGCUCCUGUGAGCAGUAACAAGAAAAAAGGAAAAAAGAUUGUGAGGUCUGUUGAGAAUAGUAGUCAAAAUUGGCACGAUAGGCUCUUGUUGAUCAGGAGGAAAUCACAAUAAAUGUGGCAUAAAAUUUGCCACCCGGAUGCUCCAGAAGCCUAGCUUCAGCUGGAUGUUUCCAACAUAAUAUUUUGAACCCGUGGUCAUCUUGCAGGCUUUGUUUUCUCGCUUGGGCAGCACUGGUAACGGAUACGAGAACACACUGAUGGCACAAUCGAUUUGCGACCAGAAUUGGAAUCGAAAUGGUCGAUCCCAUGAUUUCUAACCAAAAUCAGAAUCAGAUUGAAAUUCGAUUACUAGAGGAGAGUAGAGAUUGCAUUUUGAGGAUUGGGGCAUUUUCUAUUCCCUAAUGGGACUUUCUCCAAUCAAAUAGCUAGAAUGAGAGUUACUCAUUCGCAUUUUCAUUCUAGAGUCCAACUCCUCCAACCAAAUAUUUUCUAAAUUCUUGUGUGCUGGCCUCGCAAUACAAUACAGAAAGUUUUCGCCAUUUUCAAUCACUGUCGGUGCCACCUUCCAUUUGGACACCUCCAGACUUGGUACUUCUGUACAUUGAUCCUAGCAUUUUCAUCAGCAAAGCUGAAGAGUCUGAUCUAGAUCAAAUUAAAAUAUUAGCUUGUCGGUGUUAGACUUGUAUAGAACUUAGACAUUUUAAAAUAUAUCAUACAAAUGUUCUAGUCACGUAAUAUUAGAUGUCGGUGGAUGCAGUGCUUGCGGUUUGCUAAUUGAAUCUCGGCUCUCUUUUAUAGCCAUUUGUGCAACACAGAUCUUUGGAAAACUGGAUUCAUAUUGAUCUCUCGCCCUAAUUCAGAUAAUUUCUAUAUGAAUGAAUAUAUGUUCAUAUAAUUUAUCGAUGUUUCUGCCUUUAUUUCAUCGAGAUUCUAUAACUCAUAACAAAGUGCUGCAAGGUAAAAUGGGCCAGGCUGGGGCUAGAAAGGCAUACCCCAUUGUAUUGGGCUCAGUAUUGGCCCAACUCCACGUAGUCCAUGGUUUCAAGCCCAAGCUAGAUCCUCUCACAAAACUCGAACUCAGGCCAGAACAAUCCUAGGCGAGGCCGGCCCAAACCUACUAAGAAAGCAAAAUGGAAGAAAUAGAUGCUCGCAACAACAUACUAAAAUAGAGGCAUCAAGCAUAGGGCCAUAAAUCACCACCAUUCAAUACAAGCUUAAGAGGAACGAUUACAAGAGGAAAGAUUAUAAGAGAAUGAGACACCCAAGCUAUUAACCAUCUCCUCCGACAAAAACCCUAUAGACAAGUUUCUUGGAUGACUCCUUCUUACUCUUGUUCUCCAAGGGGGACCACCCUAGAGAUUAGUUUCUCUCUUCUUUCAUUUUAUGAGUAUACUCUCUUAUGUUUUCCUCUAGAAACAGCUUAAGUUGUUUACAAUGUGAAUGUGAUGGACUCCUAGCAUAAUAUAAGUAACUAGUGCCUGGCCAGACAAAACAGAAGUUACAUGCUAUUCCUAUAAUGCCUCCCAUCAGUGUAAAACCUCAUAUCUUCUUCUUUUCUUUUCCUUAACUUUUAUUUUUUAAAUUUGCGGUGCUUUUUUUUUUAGUAUAACAGCACCUCACACACGAUGGGCGUGGGUGUAGCCAACAAAAUAAAAAAAAAGAGUUGGCUAAAAAGAAAAAGAGCAGAUGCGUGGUUCUUUCAGAAAAAAAUGUGAUGCAUUUGACAGGCUGCUUUUUUUCAGAUCUAGUAUGAUGGAGAUAGUUGGCACUCAAGGACCGAACUAAUUGACUCAAGCUCGGCUUGGGUCAAACCUAGGUCAGGUUGGUCCUAAAGACCAUUAAUUUUAGGAAAGUGUCGAGUACCCCCUCCAUUUUCUUUUUUUUGUGGGUUUUUGCAUUUUAGGCAAAGAUAACAAAGAGCAAAUCCUCUCCCCAAAUACAAAGUGAAAAAGAAACAAAACUAUAAACCUCGAGGGAUGGCGAGCUACACCAAAUAUACUGGAACUACAUUGUGGGAUUAUUCUGCUAGUCUUCCUGUUUAAUUUUUGAAAAUGUUAUUAAUUAAUUCAUCCAAAUUACUAAAAAAACAGACAGCCUCUGGGAUUAGCAUCGCUGAGGACCAAAAGCUGUCGUCGGAAAUCAUUAAACCAAACUCGAGGAUCUGGAGAUGAGUAGCUCUGGAACAUGGAAUCGAUCCCACCGUCUUCUUAAUUUGUUUGGAGUUAAGGAUAACAAGUAGAUGUGGUUCCAUUGAUCCAGGGGAUUACCUGUCGCGUUUGGAGGAUGUUAGGAGUAAAUGUAGAAAAGGGUUUUUCUCCAAAUGUUCGACCUGUUUAAUUAUCCCAUGGUUUCUUUUGAAUAAUUGGUGGUGCCUUCGCUGUUACAUUUUAAUGAUGACAAUAAACUUGUCUAAACCUUGCUACAACCUGUACAUAUCAUAACUAAUUCUUAUAUUCAGUUAGGCUUUCCCAAACAAGAUCUUGUAUUUCAGUUUUGCAUGCAUAUAUCGUGCAUACUUGAAUAAGCUAUAAAAAAAGAGCAGUCUGAAUAGAUACAUACAGAGAUUGUAAAGUGCUAAAACAUAUAUUGCACGAAUCUAAUAAUAAAUUAUGACACAAUCAGAAGUUGACUUCUCGUACUGCAUAUGCUCAUAUCAAAGAACAUCACCUUUAAUGUCUCAUUUCUUCAUAAUUUCUUUUCUGAGAAAACAUUUUGUCCACAACAAUAUUAUCCCUUUUUCUGAGGAAUGAUGGAGGAACUGAGACACUUCAGUAAAUUUAUCCAUCAAAUUAUGAAAUCUACAUGAAGGUGAGAGUUUUAGGAGUUACAAAGGGAGGAGGGAUAGGAAAGUACGAAAACAACAUCAAAAUUUAAUGUUCUCCAGUAGGUAACAGUAAAGAAAACAAUAUCAUCACUUUCAUAAAGACAUCAGUAUGCUCCAUCCGUUGGAGAAAGCCAAUAACACCAGCCACUUUUUUUUAAUAAGACAAAGCGUAAGGUUGCUUGAUCUGCUAUAGGCUUUGGACGAAAGAAUCCUAUGACCAUAAGGUUAAUAAUUGUAAGGUAUAGAAUCAAUUACUGUUGGAGAAAGAUGAAGUGUAGAAUAAUACUGAUACCUUUUUGGCUGAGAAAAGGAUGGAAAAAACCAUCCAAAUUCAUUCUUUUGACAAAUUGAAAUGAAAAGCAUAGCUAAAUAAUUUAGACGUAAAUGUUCUUACAAAAUCAGAAAUCCGAAUCUUACAUUCUGUGGUUACAGAUUGACACAGUAGCAAUGAACUUAUAAAUUUGAGAAAAGAAUUGAAAUGCUAAUCAUAAAGCAACAUAAGAAGAAGAGAACAGAAGGUAAUAUCCUGCUGAUUAGAGAGAAGGAAGAUGAAAAUCACGGGAGGAAUUAGCUAACAAACUAUGGCUCGUUAUUUUAAGAUGCUUCAUAUCCCUAGAAGAAGCUAUGCGGUAUGCAAAACAGGCUGUAGCCCAAAGUUGUCAUUCUCCUCCUUAUGAGAGGAAAUUCUGGUUUGGAACCCUGGAGGUAUUUUGCUAUACAUUUGUCCCACUUAAUUCUUUUUUUGGCAGUGUCCGCUGUUUUUCUCAAGGAAAAAAAAAAAAAACUAUGCAGUGUUACUAGAUAGUAUCUCUUUAAGCAAAUGUGGAAAUGCCGAACUACCUUUUUGGGGAAUCCCGAAGUUUAACUAUUAUAUCAUAACCAUUUUGAUAACCAAACCAUGUUUUUCAUUCUUGAUCUCAAAAAAUGCAGAGAUCUUUUAUUUCUUUUUUCUUUUUUCAUUCUAUUUUGUUCUUUUUUUCAUAACUUAUAAUUAUUUAUCAACAACUGUUAGCUUAGCUGGUUGGUAGCUGGACUCAAAAGUUCAAACUUGAAUGAUGGACAAUAACUACUGUACUCUCAAAAAAAUGGUUUAUGAUUAAUAAAUGAGAUAAAAGAUGUUAUGAAGAUGUCCAGUUCUUUCUUCUUAUUUUUUUAAUCUUGUUCCAUAUAGCAGCUGUAAUAUAACUUUGCCCAGCAUGGCUCCUCAGCCAGAUAUACAUCUCCAUUGCUAGUGAUGACUUAGAAAUCGCCCACUCUGUUUUCCAAGCGACCCCAGGUCUGCACCGAUGCGGGAUGAGCAGACGGCUCCGGUGGACCAACGACCUCUAGCCUGAGCAAACAAUCGUCAAGCUCCACAUCGUCGUUGGAAACAGGAAAUACCCUGCCUACUUCCCUGGUGGGAUCCACCCACUGUCAAAACUAUUUUACUGGUCUAUCAAUCAUAAAUUCCAGUGAAGCAAUUUUGUAUCAGAUGGCUAAAGUGGACUAAAGAUUUUGGUGCUCAUAAUGUUAUGGUUCUUCGGUGCCAGGGCGCACGGACACCGACGUCAAGAGCCACGAGAAUAAUACCUAGCUCAAGAAGAAGCUCUCCGGUAUGGGGAUCGAUCCUGGCACACGCUUAGGCCUUUCUCCUACCUCAUGACUGAGAUCAAAUCAUGACAAGAAGCCACACAGAAGAUCAAAUUAGGCCUGUCCAGGGCCAACAUGAAAGAGCCCACCAAUGACAAGGCCUCGGUCAUGAUGGGCCCAACAACAGAGCCAUGCGAUGGCUGUAUGCGCGGCAUGCACCCAAUAGCGGCUGAGGCUUUCGAAAUGGUGGGACAACCUAGGUUAAUGAUCACGAGGGAUCAACAUGGAGCCAGAGCUUGGCCACCGGGAGCAUCUGCACUGGCGAUGCAGCAGAGCAGCAGGAUAGCAGGAUGCAUGAGAAAGGCGAGGAUGAUGAUCAGGAAGGGGCUUAGGGUGGAAACGAUGCAACAGCAUGUUCGCUUCGGACGGCGUUGUGUGGGACCUAAUCUGAUCAUUUGAUGAAUUCCCAUUGUGUCAAAAAGAGUGGCGGAACUCAAGAUCACUUAAUUGAAAUGAAUUAUUGGUACAGGAACUCUAAUCUGUAAGAGAGUAUUACAACAGAAAGCUUUAGUCUGUAAUGAAUAUUGAUGCUCUCUUUUCCCUUUAAUAACAAUUUGUAACGUAAUGUUUACCAGGUACAAUAAAAUUAAGCGAAGUAUGAAGAAGAACACGAUGUGCCAGAGAGAACCUGCAAAUGUACCAUAGUCAAAAAUUAUAUAUAUAUAUAUAUAUAUAUAUAUAUAUAUAUAUAUGUGCGCGCGCGCGCGCGUAUAGGUAAGUGUGUAUAUAUGUAUGUAUGUGUGUAUGCGUAUAUAUGUAUGUGUGUAUAUAUAUGUAUGUAUAUGUGUCUGUGCGCACAUGCAUGCGGUAAUAUAAAUAAAACUAAAUUUGCUUGCCUCCAGUUGCUCUUCAGUAAAAGCAUCCUUCUGGAUGCUCCAAGUAUCGGCAUGAGUACGGCGGAACUCUGCAACUGCUUUUGUAACCGUAGAUUUGACUGGUGAAGGCUCCCCAAUGAACUCAGCAAGCAACGUUACAUGAUCCGGAAGCCAGCUGCAAAAGUAUGGAAAAAAACAUAAAGAUACUGUGAUGCAACUUUUUCCUUAAAAAAAAGGACUAAUAGGACAUCCUCAACUGAAAAAGAGCCAAUGACAGAUCAAGGGCAACUCUAGUUCCAUACAAGCUUCAAGAAUUUCUUAGGGUUUUGUUGGCUAGGGCAUUUCUUUUUUGUUUGUUUGUUUUUUUUGGGAAGGGGAGGGUGGUGAAGAAUGCACGAGUCUGAUGUAGAUGGCAUCAGAACAAUAUCCGAUUCAUGACUGCCAUGAGCACCUAGUAAAGAUUAGAAAAUUCUGCAAUAUUUCCCAAUUUCCAUCAUUAAUACAAUUUGCUAUCCCCCUCCUCCUUUGCUAUCACCACCUGUUCUUGUCGAGAUGACAGGACACAUGAAAUCUUGUUUCAUGCAAUCAAUUUAACCCAGGGGUCUAAAUCCCAGCAUGACAAGGGUUGUCUUCCUUUGAGAAAACAGAACCGGGAUGGAGGCAGAACUUUGAAACCCAUCCACAUGGGGAAAGAAGAAGAAAGAGGAAAAAAAGGAAAGGAAGGAAAGAAGAAGAAAAGGGAAAAAAAGAAGAAGAAAAGAAGAAAAAAGGAAGAAAGAAAAGAAGGAAGGAAGAUGAAAAAGAAAGAAAGAAGAAGAAAAAAAAGGAAAGAAACAAAGGAAGGAAGAAGAAAAAGAAAGAAAUGACGGAAGGAAGAAAGAAUGGAAAGAAGAAAAAUUAAAGGAAUGAAAGAAGGAAGAAAGGAAAGAAAUAAGUAAAAGGAAAGAAAAAAAGAAAGGAAGAGCAAAGAAAACAAGAGGAAGGAAGGAAGAUGAUAAAAAAGGAAGAGAAGAAGGGAAAGAGAAGAAUAGAAACAAAAAAUAGGAAAAAAGAAAGGAGAGAAGAAGGGGAGAGAAAUGGAGGGUAACUACUAGGACACUUGACCGAGACGACCAUCGGGACUGAACUUCCGUAGAAAAACCGAGACACCUCCAUCCCACAAGAUUUAAAAGCUUACUUUAAACUUUAAAGUAUUAACUUUCUACUAUCAAAUAAUUAAUCAAAAUAGAUGAUGCAGCCACAAUUAGGAAAAUAAUCCAUAAAGUACCCAUUGUAUAUGUGAAUGAAACUCAAAUUAGCACUGUGGCUGGAGUAGCCUUCUUUGCUCAUCCUCAUGAUGUGUGGGCUUGAAUCUGGUUUAGCAUGAGACUAACAACGAAAAGAACCCUAUCCUCAUGCAACUGUUUGGAAUUGAAUCUAGUUGAGCGGACUGACCAAAGUGAGACUGACAAUGAAAAGAACUUAUAUUUUUCCAAUGGUAUUUUCAUUAGAGCCACCAGUCUGGCCCUGCAUAAGGAUAGUUUUGACACAUAAUACUUCCAUGUUAAAGGUAGCCUGAAAAAAGAUGGCUUGCACCUUAUCUGAAACACAUACCUGGGCAUGUCAUAAGGAACAGAAAGAACUGAAGCAACCAAAGAAAGGACAGCUCCAUGUGUAGAAGCUACAGAUUGACCAGAAGCCAAACUUCUGCAGUUACAAGUUACAACCUUUAAGUCAGCUCAGCAUCAAACAAUAUAGGGAUUUUAAUUAAAUAAAUCUACAUAUGUUUUUACUGUAGCAGUUGAACAACAUAAAUAUUAGCAUGCAACUGGUAUGUUUCUUUGUGCAAAUAUUUACGAACAUGAAAUUUUGUCCUUGUCUGUAAUCUGCAUCAAGUUAUAGCAAAUUUGGAAAGCUGAGACUCAUACACUCAAAUUUUGUUUAAAAGCAUGAUCAAGACCUUUGCUUUCGUUUCCUGAGGAUUGAUUGUGCUUCUGCAUAUGAUUGGUCACGGAAAGUCCUUGACAAAUCUUCAUCUCCACCCUUCAUUAAGCUUGCAAGAACCCUAGCAGCAUGCUCCCUAACCUAAACUUGUACAGAAUUAGUUAAGUCAAAUCACAGUAAUGGGAAAAAUUGUUUUUAAAACAAACAAAUAACUAAAUCAACAGAAAAUAGAAGUUUCUCUUGUAUCAAACAAGCAUGCAAGCUCCUCUCUUGCAACGCCGCCAAGGUCACCAAAUCAUUCUUUCUGGAAUAUGGAACUACAUAAAAUAUAGGAUCACAAAAGAAGGUAGUCUAUAGAUUAAUAGCGCAAGAGAUGGCUACAAUAUUUGAAUAUAUAUGUGUUUCUUUAUCAACCAUAAGGUCUUAUAUAGCAAUAGUCAUCUAAAAGAACGUCACUGUAACAUCCUAUCCUUAAAAACAUGUUGCCAUCUUUCUAUUUGAGAAUUCAUGACAACAGGAGAUUAAAGACCAACCACACCUAAUAAAUUUCUAAAGGUGGUGUUUGCUUAUCAGAAGGCACUAAUAUGUUAAUUUUAAAAUCAGAUACAUGGACUUGCCUCAACUUGGCUGUCAACAAGUAGCUUCUUGAUACUUUUCCAGAUUUGUAAUUUCUCGGAAGCUGAGAGAGUGAAUGUGUGCCUGUUACAAAAGCCAAAACAAUGUUUUGCCUUAACAGCAAGGUAAUUGGUCUUCUUUGCAUAUAGAGUCCAGCUUUAGAAAACAUAGACAAUAGUAGUUAAGGACUCUGAUCUAAAGAGGCCUGUCAAGCUGAUCACCGAAUGUGAAAUCUGCAGAUACAAUAAACACAUCUUGACAAGCAUAUAUUACGCUGUCCAAGGAGACAGAAAUUAGAGGCACAGUUAAUAAAAACAUGAGUAGGCAUAAAUAUUCCCUUAGAAUAUUUUUUCAAAAAAAAAUUGACAACAAAAAGCCUUUAGUGAAAGAGAUCGAUGUCUUACAAGGCCAUAUCUACAAGAGUUUCAGAACGGAACCGAAAACAAUAGUAAACAUUACAAACACACAAAAUAAAAUUAUCUCAAAUGGUUUGAGGAAACAAUUUCAUACCUGUACAUAAAGGUAUGAAGAUAUGUGAGAGCUGCAGAUCUGGUUCGCCAAUUAGGAUCAUUGACUGAAGAAAGGAUCACUGAGACAGCAUUUUCUAAAAAGGGCCGAGGUAAUAUCCUCCAUUUUAGUAAUCUAAAAGCAGCCUUAGCUAACGUUGACAGGUCUUUAUUUGACGUUUCCUGUAAACACAUGAUAGCAAUCUUGUGGAAUAGGUACCAAGCAAUGAUGUAUCAUGCAACGUAACUUUUAGGAACCAAGGACUCAAAAAGAAAAAGAGUAAAUUACAUGUAAGCUUAUAAAAGAGUAAAUUCAAGUUCGACAUCUCCAAUAUGUGAUUGAACUUGUAAUAAAUAUGUGCAACUUGUUCAUGCAGUAAGGAAUGACAGCUUCUUAAAAUCAAAGAAAAGCAUUAUGCCAUCAAGUCUGACAUUAAGGGUUUCUGGGCUGCUCUAAACUGGAUCUCGUGCAACCAGACCUUAGCAUAUGAAUUUCUGAAUGAUUUGAUGAGGUGUCACAAAAAUUUUCACGCGGAAAAUAGGGGCAUAUUGAUAGUUUGGCCUCAAAGUGUUGCUGUCCUAUUGUAAAUGAAGAGAAGAUUUUCUGCCACUGACCAGAACAUGCCCUGCCUAACCUCACUCCUUCCUUUGUUUCUUUUUUCCCUUUUGGCCCUCUUCUACCUUCUAUCACAAUCUAUCAUUCAGCCCUUCUUUCUUUACUUUUAUUAUCUUGUAGACUUUCCUUUUAGGUCCUCUAUGGAAGAAAACCUCAUUACAUACCUGCAGGACUGCUUACAUAUAUAGGGCUGACUUUAGCCUUGAAGAACAUUAAGUGUCAAAUCCUUUUAAAGAACAUUGUCAAAUUCUUUUGCCCCAUACUGUUAAGACCUUGAGCUCUCGCAAGGUGUUCGAGAAAUCAUGAGCCAACGGCAGAAUAUAUCUUAUCUUGUCUCAAGUGUGUAAUCUUUUUCUGGUCAGCCUGAUCUGAAAAACUCUUCACUUCGAUUUCCUUUUUCUUUUCCAAACUAUGUUCAUGUGCGAGGCCUUUCAACCAUACAAGCAGAGGCAGCCAUGAAGAGGUGUGUAUAAAUGUAGUCCUGAAAGUGGUCAGCUAUGCUCCCCGAGCUAUGCUCCCCGAUGCUCCAAGGCCUGAACGUCAUGUCCGCAAAAGCAGUAUUCUUGAUGAUUUUAUAGAAACACAUGGUUCAAAAAUAAAGAAACAGGUGGCUAUUUAUUUGCUGAAUAGACUUCUGCAUAUACUACUUCUAGAAUGACUUAGGACACAAUAGUGCUGUCUAACUCUUCAACUUAAGGCAACAAUCAACAAUAGUCAAUUCAUUUUCUUGGUGAAGGGAACAAAAAAUAUCUGAUUGCUUUUUCCCCAAGUGAAAGUGUCCAAUUUGGAAUGGAAUAGAGCCUUAUGUUAACACCAAUAUUAUGUUCCUUAACAGCUAAAAAGAUCUGGGAUAUGCUAAAAUGGUUUUCUUCAGCAUGAACCUGAUGAUCUCUAUAGUUCUUAUCAGGAAUACUCAUAUCAUCCAUCAAGCAGAACUCAUGGAAUAUUUUGCUACGUUGAUUGAUGUUGUUUAAGGAGCUCAGUCUUUUAGUUCCUAACAAGACUCAGAACAACAAGAGCUCGGAAAAGCUUAAAGCACAAUAUCAGAGUCCGAGAUCCUAUUCUUUCCAGUAGUGAAAUGCAUCUAUGAGGUAUACAAUUGAGAAUUACAAUCUCUAUAAAUGCAGCAGCACCUUCAAGUAAAAGAAUCUCUUUUACAUCCAGUGGCCACAGCCAUUCAAUCAGGAACCAGGCAUGGUACCCAUGGUGGUCAUGUGAGUGGUUGUGAUGUAAGUGUUAACUGUGACAAAGGCUGCAAAGACCAGUCUAUGCAAUAUAUUUCUGUAUAAAAAAUAGAUACAUGUGGCUGCCCACAUGAGGUCUUUUGUCACGAUCAAUCAGAUCUAGCAGCAAUCUCUAAUUGAUGCUUGCCAAGCAAGUCCCUAAAGUGAAGAAAUAAUAAUCUUAUCAACAGACCACUGAACUCCAAGAUUGAUGAAAAGUCAUCUUCUCAUGUUAGACACAAACCAUCUAUGGGGUACCCAGCUAACUCACUUAGGCAAACUGUCUCUUAUCAUCUGCUCCCUUCUCUUGGACCAUUGUCCUGCAUCAGAUCACGACGAGAGAUCACCUAGUUUCUCAUCUCCUAGUAUUUCCUGCUUUCAUGCAUGAUUUUAGCAGACUGGUGAUAUACCAACAUUGCUGGUGUUGGUAAGUUUUUUCCUAGAUAAGAAAUCAAAAUUUCUUCUUGUCCUUUUUUCUUUGAUAACAAGUCGAUCAAGACCUUAAAAUAUUUUUUUUCCCUCCUUUCCCACAUGCUAUGUAUCUCAUGUCUUCAUGAUGAAGAGAACACAUCUGGUGGCAGAUGUAGGCUGGAAGGACUAUUGUCAUAGUUAAGGUUAGACAAGAACUGGUUACACCACAUCGAUAUGCCAAUAUAAAUGUGAAUACCAACCUUUGGGGCAUCAUUCACUUGAAAAGUUGAAACAUUUUGCUCCAAGUUUGUCUUCACGGUCAUAUAUGUAAGGUACAUGAGCUUGGAAAAACAUUUAGGCCCCGUUUGGAGGAGCUUUUGGUACUUUUUGGCUCUCCAAAAGCACUUUUAGAUAAAAUAGGGGUGCUUGGUAAAAAUUUCGGAAAGCUAUUUUAGCUUUUUUAGAAAGCUAAAAACAGUUUUAUGGGAGAAGCUUCAUUUUGGAGCUUUCCGGAAAAGCACUUUUAAGCCCAAUCGGAAAGCUUUUUUUUUGGGACCAAAAUACCUGUGAUAAAAUAUAAUAAUUACACAAAAUGUUCCUUUAAUAAUUGUUUAACCAAUUUUAUCACCUACCUAAGAAAUUUGUUAUAUUAUGAAAAAUUAAUUUACGCUACUAAUUAUAAUAUUUUAUAAUUUUAUUAUUAUAUUAUACUAUAAAUAUAAUAUUAUAUUACAUUAUAUCAUAAUACAUUGAUAUGUUAUGUUAAAUAAUUUAAUAUUAUAUUAAAUUAUUAUGCUAUAGUAUACAAUAUUAUAUUACUAUAUUAUAAUAAUAUUAUAUUACAUUACAGUAAUAUUAUACUAUAUUAUAUAUUUAUGUAUUAAUAUAUAUUAUAUUUUAUUAUGCUCUGUUGUAUAAUAUUAUGCAAUGUCCUUUAUAGUCAUUUUGUCAUACCAAAAGUACUUUCUCAGUUUGUUUAUCAAACACAUGUUAAAGUGGUACAACACUUUAGAAAUGUAGUUACCAAACAACAAAUAACUUUUUAUAAAAGCUUACUUCAGCAAGCUCUACUUCCAAAAGCUCUACUACCAAUAGCUCCCCCAAACGGAGCCUUACUAUAAACAAAUAAUAUAAAGCAACUAUUUUUUUCAACAAUUCAUAUUUAUGUAUAGCAACUAGUUAAAGUUAAACAAUUGCUUCAUUUUUAAUAUGAUGUUAUCCUUGUUGGUCAUUAUUACUCAAAUGAAAUGGAAGCAUCUAAUGAACAAUGAAAGAGAAUUAUUUGAUACAUUCAAAUCCAUUCAUGAUGAAGUCAAUUUCUAGAUUAUUGUACACAUUAUAACGUUACGUAAGAAAGAUGGCAAGAUUAUAAUGACACAGCCUUAUAAUGCAUGCAAAUAAAGAUUUGCUUAGUCCAUAAACUUCUUGUUCCUACACACAAGAUAAAAUGAAUAGAAUGAAGUAGACAGCAAAAACACUGCAUUUUCUUAAACAAACACUAUCCUAACAAUAUUUUAUCUCAUAAUCAUAUGCCUUCUGGUAUUUUAAAUGAGGAUAAGCCUAAAAGCCUCUCUUUCCAGACCUUUUUUCCCUCUAAUGGAGAUUGGUUGCAUAUGCUUUGGUCAAAGAUUGGAUCCAAGAUAAAAGAGCAUGAUUCUAAAUCUAUUACGUUCCUCUUUCAUGGGUGUUCCUGUUCUUGGAAGGGAAACCAGCAUCAAAGACCAACUGGAAAUGCAUGCUAAGACAUCCAAAUUUAUAAUUCACACCAUUCCUCAUGACUUACAAUUUCCAAAAUCUUCUUGAAAUAAUUUUAAAAUGAAACAACACUAAGUGUGAGAGACAUGGUACAGACCAAGUCGACAGUCUUUCAGUAAUGGAAUGAUCUGCCUUCAUCUAUUAUCAGGACCCAUAGAGAGAACUUGAAUUUUUGUUUAAACAUGUUUUCAAAAUUGCAGAACACAGUAAUGAAUGCAUUAUCAACUUGUAUGCCCCAACAUAUGUCUGGGCAGGGAAUAAUUAGUAUAAGUAUGCCCUAAAAGCAAUAAAGUCAUCCCCUUUCUUGCUGCUCACAAAAAAUCAUAUCCUACAUGUCUUUGUAAUCAUAUAUGUGCAUGUGUUUGUGCAUCCAAGGAAUUGACUGAAUGAACCCAACUAUGUCCAAUACAUCUAAGAAGUAUUCAUGCAAUAUCAGUGCAGUAUCUCCUACCAAUGUGACGGCGUUAAAGUCUGGCAAGAAUAUGAUGAGCCUUUAGUAGUAUCUAGGUAUUAGGGAGUUGAAGCUAUGCAGCCCUAAACUUAAUUUAAUAUGUACGACGUUCUGCUAUUCAAAAUUAAGCCCAAAGCCAUUUUUACGAACCCAGAAAACAAAUAAAUAAAUAAAGUGCUGAAACAAUAUUAACUAACAAGGUGCAAGAGUAUUUUCUGUUUCUCUUACAAAUUUAAUUAUUGGAUUGUGUCUAAGAAUCUCUAUUAAAAUUUUAAAAAUAAGUAAUAGAAAGAAAUCUCUUAUAUAAGUCAACAUCUUGUCCUACAAAAUCCUAUAAGCACUAAUUGAUUGAAAUAAACUGAUACCAACUGAAUAUAAAAAUCUUAAAAACAUCACAAAAAAAUAGAACAAGAAAAUGUAGUCAAAGAAACUAUAAUUCUUAUUGUCAGUUGAAACUGGGCCGAAGUUUAAAUACCUGCAACGAAAUAACAGGAUAAAUGAGUCCAACAACUAUGUCCAACAAAACAGAAGAUCUUCCAGAUUUCAAAGAUGAUAUUAUGAAAUGGAACAUCUGCAGCAAUAAAAAAGGAAAAUAAAUUACUUUUCACUGAAGCAGCUAAAAACAUGAGGUUUCAAUUUCAGGAAACAUAAUUAAAUGAAGUACCGUUUCCAUCCUCUUAACAUCUGUUUCAGCCUCUGAACUUGUGAAGCCAUUUUUAUGAAUCAAAUCUACCAUUGAAUCUAUAUUGUCAUAUUGCUUGGCACUUUGUAUAUUUCUAGCUAAUUCAGAAGCUCUCUCUGUUAGAAACUUAGCCCAAUUUUCCUUGUGAGGUGACUCAACCACGUUAAUGCCCCCUUCUGCCUCUCGUAAACAUCUAUGUCCCGGUGUUGCAAAAAGCCGCUUGUUAGAACAUACAACAGCAAGUGUCACGGCAAUAGAUUCUCUAACCUGCCUCACAUUUAUAAGUCUUAGAAGAGAGUAACAGAAGCAUAAUAAUUGACUAAAAACAAACCAUUCUUUACCAAGGGACAAAUAAUUGUAGCAUGACCAAUUCAUUUAACAUCAAAAAUAUAUUUGAAGAAUAUAUAUUUGGUCAAGAACCACUGAUUUAAUCUCUGAUAAACAUUGUAACUCAUAUAUAUUACUGACAAGAAGGGAUAGUAUCUUCCAUUAACAAUUGAUAUACAUUCAGCAGUUUUCACUUGCAACCAGCAUUAACUAGGCAAGAAAAUCAAUUAAACUGCAUUCCAAAAUACUUCUAGCAAAUUGGACCAAUCUGAGUGAUAUAUAAGCCUAAGAGUCAAAGUCCACACAAGACGGCAGAUGGAAAGGACGUCCAAUUGUAAGAUACAUUAUCCAAAGAAAGACAUCUCAAAAAAUAAAAUUAGCCACGUGUAUGUCAGAAGUUCAUUAACUCCAACUAGAUGGUCCUUGAAGCCCAGGUUGUGCUAAGAACUAGGGGAAGCAAUAAAUUCUUAACAAGAGAAAUAUAAUGAACUGCGAUAUAUAUGUCAUAUGAGCAAAACCUCCAUUCAAUCAGAUGCUUUUUUGCAUUAGCUGCAGAGGAUAGAAUUUGCAUGCACCCUAAGUCACAGGGCUACAUCCUGAGGCAUCAAUAAAUGGCCAUUUAUUGCAAUCCUCAAUAUAUGAAUGACAAUAGACAACAUGACCAAUUUACCUGUGCCAACAACCAACAUGUCCAUGGCCCAGGAGGUAGCCACUGACGAGGGCAAAUGAUAUUGUUUAGAAUAAAUCAAACACAUUAGAACAGCGAGCAUCCUCUGUACAAUUAUUAUUUAAUACUUAACAGUUUCCAGGACAGACUCUGGUAACAACAAGAAACUUAGACAACAAGACACUAGAGGAACAGCAAACAAAGGACUGAUAUAUUACAAGGUCCCUUCGGUGUGUCAAUCAUUCAGAAAGGAAUUUUAUCAUAACGUAUCCAGUGAUCACUUCAAACCAUCAGAGUACAUCAAUAAUCAAGAUUUACUAUAGGAAACUUUGACCAAGAGAGUAUAGAGAGAGAGAGAGGAUCGGCAAAGUGUUUCUCUGAUGAAAGGUCCCUUGAGCUGACAGCAAAUUAUUGGAAAUCUUUUAUCGUUAUAAAGAGGAACCUUGCACUUAAAAAUGUAUAUAAGAAGAACCUAUGAAGAAAAAAUUACUGUCAAUCCGAACCGUGAUCAUUUAAGCUUAUAUGGUAGAGACUAGAGACCAACAGGCCUAAAGUUGAUUCACAAAUUAAGUCUCUGUUUGAUUGUCAAGGAAAUGAAGAAAAGUAACCAGCAUAAGGGGGAGGGGGGGGCAAAGAAAUGAAAACAAUAAUUUUCUCUUGUUUGGUUAAGGUAAGAAAAUGGCAGAGUUUUGUUAACAAAUUUGUUAGGAUCUGCUAGUCAUCCUGAUCCACUAGAUUCUGUUAUCCUCUCCAAAAAUCGGUAAAAUUACAAUAGAGGAAAAGCUUUUGGCUUUCUAAUGAAAAGUUUUACCUUUUCUUCCUCUUUAUUUUUUCCCUAUUAGUUUUCCUUUCAUUUCCAAACAAUGAAAAAGAAGAUUCCACUCUGACAGAAUUUCUUUCUCUCAGUUUCAUAGCAACCAAACAGAAAUGAGUCCUUCCAGGAAUCAGGUAGCUUUGGAUAUCAUGACUCAAAUAUUGUCAGUGUUAUAUGCAGCCAUGAUGACAUCUUUAGGAAACUGACUUUGGGGAAAUGAAAACAAUUACUAAUUUGAAUCCUUUCUGCUAUUUGUAAUUGCAAUCAAGUGAGAAAAAAAUGAUCAUGCACAGAAAUUCAUUUGAUCAGCCUAACAAGUAAUAUAGGUCAACACAUAUAUACUCAACGUCAUGAUAUGACCAUUUUGCAAAGUAAACCUUACUUGGGCAGAUGGAUGACUCAUUUUAUCCAACAACUCUUCCAGAAGCUUAUCAUGGUAUUGAACCUCUGCAAUAGGCAUUCUAGGCGGAGAGAUUUCAAUGAGUGCAACUGAAAGGAAAGAAUACCUCUUGGCCACCACAUUGCUUGCCAUGGUUUCAGGCAAAGGUCUUGCCAAGCAUUCUAAAAUUCUUUGCCUCAGAAGAGGAAUUUGCGUGCCAUAUUUUCCUUUUCCUGUAACUGCAUAUCGUAUGCAAGCUGCCCACUCAGGAAUUGACUCCACUGAUGGUGUUACAAUGAUCUCCUGAAGCUGAAGCAUCAUCCAAUUGUCCCAGGCUUCCAGCAGGCCAUUUAUAUCAGAAUGAAGCAUGCCAGCCAUGACUUCAGCGGCCACACAUUGCUUUGAUCUCUCUUUCGCACUAGAAAAUUCCUUGAGUAUGUCCUGUAGAGCAACUAGAACUGGUGUUCCACAUUCCUGUAUGAGACGCUUAAAAAUCCUUGUAAAGUUGGAGUAAAAUGUGUUUCCUCCCACUAGAAAUUUCCAUCUAGGGGUACGUGGCCAUGACGCUACGAAGUCAAAAUAGAAAAAAGUAAUUUCUUUAGCAGCCGGGCUCAGAAAGGAUGACGCUCCUCGAUCACCUUUAGAAGCUGAACUCUCACUCUCAGCAAUUAUGUGGACAUGGGAGAGACUGUUUAGAGUCUCAUUGAAGAAUCCCUCCUCCCUUAAUAUCUGAUUCAGAAUUUGUCCAACAGAUGAGUCUUUAUUUUCUUUGAGAUCAUCAUAGCAAAUUUGCUGUUCCUGACUGGAGAUUUUAUGUGUUGCUCCCUGUAAUAGAGUGUUCAGAGCAGAGAUUGCCAGCAUUCUCGACUGAGGGAAUUGACUUUUCAAAUUUCUUAAAAAAUGUCCUGAUAUGAGAUAAAUAUUCCAUCAGAGUUAGAGAUAAAGAAAUAGGUGGAAGUCAUUUACCAGGCAGUAUAAGCCUGUACUGGUAAAUAAUCACCAAAGCAUAAUCAUAAUAUCAGCCAGUAAUCAAUCAACUUCCAGGCAUACUGACCUGCAGUUUCCCCAAGAAUCUUGGUAGAUAAUUGUAAAUCACUUCUAGAAGCCAAAGUUAACAAAAGUAGUACUCUGUUAGCCAUCAAAUUAUACCUGGGGAAAAAAAAGAAAAUUUGUGCCAGAUCCCAGUAUUCAAGACAUAAAGAGAUCCACAUGCAUGUAUUGCUAGAGAAAAAGCAAAAAAUGUGACCACAUAUGAAUCAUAGGUGAUACUUGAUGUGUAUAGUUUCGCAAAGUAACAAGCUAUUUGAAAACUGUGCAAGUACAUACAUUUAUGCUUCUGCAUGCAAAAAUUCAUGAAAAGCAGAUCUUGUCAGUACCUCCAGUGCAAGCCAGUUGUGUUGAAGCUCAAGGAACUGAUAUGAGAAAACAUAUCUGCAAAUUCUGGGUUGUCCAGUUGGCCAUUUGAAGUCUUGAACAAACUCCUUGGUAUCCCAGAAAAGUGGAUGUUGUAUUCAACAAACAGCUGUUGAGACACCAUGAUGUAAACAAAAUUUAAAGAUAAAAUCAACAUAUAACUUAAAUCAAGUUUAUUUCAUUAUAAUGAUGUACCUUAGUAAUAGCUUUCUGAGCUUUCAGUGAUUCAUGAUGAAAGCUUCAACAACAACAUAAUAAAAGUUAGAUCAAGAGCUUCAGACGGCAAUUUUACAGAAUCAUGAUUUCGGUUGGAGAAAAAUAAGCAAAAUCAGAGCAACUAGCAAAAUAAAGAGUAAAGAUUACCUUGUUAAAAGACCCAUGAUAAAUGAAGAGAAUGCAACUGCAUCCUGUUUAUAGCAGAAAGAAAAAAAGCUGUUACUGAAGACAAUAUAUACAUGCACAAUAUCCACGUACUUUUGUCAUGCAUGCACACACAAACACAUGUAUAUUGUGGGUUGGGGGUGAGAGAGAGAGAGAGAGAGAAUAAAACAAACAAUUGAAUGCUAGUGGGUUACUGUUGUCAAAUGAUGGAGAACAGUUUGUGUUGCAAGUAUGGUGCAAGAGCCUAGUACUGCAUGUUCUUGUGUUUUUGGAUUGCGCAAGUUCCCACUUAGGGUGAGAACACACUUAGCAAUCAAUACCGGCCAGCGUUUGAGCAACUUUGAAAGAGAUCUUCCAGCAAGCCUAAAUGUUUGAGGAAAUAAAAAUCAAUGAGAUACAUUGAACCUACAAGCAGGAAUAUUAAAGAGGAAAAAAACACUAGCACUCCUUGCAAUUCUUUAAUAAGGAAAAAUGGUAUCCCAUUCAACGGAAACAUUGCACUCGUAUAGACACAAUAGGCACUCUAUCAUAAAAGUACAUUAGCAAAUCUCUCCCAGUAAUUUUAAAAAUUAAUAACAAAAAAAAGGGAUUGUCACUGGAUAACAAUAAAACUAUGCCUUUAAACCAAAGUCCACCGAACCGGUAUCGGAACCCGUACCGGUCGAUUACGAUACCGGAUCGGUACCGUACCGAUACAUGGUACGCUUGGGCGUGCCAGUUCCCCCUUUUUUUAGCACACCUAUUUUUUAAGUUAUUCAAGUUUAAUUAAUUGGUAAUCAAUAUUUUUCAAAUUUUUCAACAAUUCUAAGUCUAAUUUGACAUUAUUUUGAUGUUUUUUGAUUUUUUAUGAUAUUGAUUUAACCUAAAUAAUGCAUCCUUUUGUUUUAAAGUGAUAAUAAUUAGUGAGAUGUUACAUGCUACAAUAAGCAACAUGAAAUAUCCUAAAAUCAACUAGUGAGGUGAAAAAUAUAAAAUAAUACAAUCAAUCACAUACCGCUAUCAAAAAUCUCGUCGAGUGGCGAUAUCUCAUGGACAUCCGGAUCAUUAGCAUAGUCAGAAGGCACAUCAGUCCACCCCACUAACCAAGCGGUGUAGUCUUGUAUGUUCGUCCCAUAAGAAAUAUGUUAUAGGUGAUAAGCACUCUUGAAUCUCUCAUUGAAGCUAUAGCUCUGAGAGGUGUCCUGUAUCUAAUAAAACGACUGUAAAGGAGCAUAUCCGAAUAAGCCGGCAGCAAAAUCCGACCCGUAAGAUGCUCCAGACUACUUAGGAUAGUAAUCGCCGGAAGAUGCCUUAGAUGCAUCAUAUCCAUAUCCGUAUCCGUAUGGGUCAUACGCUGCCUGUGGCUACGGAUAAUAGGAUCCAGUUUACGACUCGGAAUCUGAUACAUCUAUGGAUUCUACUCCAGAUGUGAGGUUAUCUGCAGCUACAUCGUAUCCUCCUGAAUGACCUCAAAAAUUUCGUCUUCUAUAUUCAAUCAUAUUCUCAUGGGCUCUACCAGAUCGUGCACUAUCCCUAUCUUGUAUAGCAUGCGUAAACUGAGACUCACCGGUGAAUUAAAGACCAUCCUGCGACCGUGUCUUAUAAACGAUAGGCCCAUGUCCUCCACUCCCUUUCUGGCCAGCAGAUCUAUGACCGCCAGAAUUGCUGCUCAUGGUCUCUAAAUCUGAGUGAACUGGCUUCUCCACACUCUCCAUGGGAGCUACAGGUGUCUUUUAUUUUUUUGGUAUGCUAAGCAGUUGUCUGCUUACCCUUCGUGCCCCUCUCCGCUUGGCUAUAUUGGGAGGAUGGAUGUCGCCCUUCUGAUUGAGUCGACCGGGUGGCGUAGAGGCCUUGUCUAAGCAUCUCUCGAUCAUAUCUCUGAGAGGAUAUUUCAGAUAAGGAGUUAUAUAGUGACCAGCUCCCCAGUAACCCUUAUGGCUAUGGCUGAUCAACUAGAAAGAUGCGUGGAAUAUUGCAAUUGGCCUAUUGCCCUGCAUUGACCCUAGCCUCACUAACUACGAAACUGGCCGGUCGUGGAGGCGAUCCUCGCUUAUCAAGCUCUGGCUCCUACUGGUGGCCCACAACCGAUCUGAUCAUAAGAUCAUCCUCAUCAACAAAAACACUAUGGAUCGGAUCUGUAAGCUCCACUUUUUGCUGAAUGCACUUUAGCCUCAAUCUCAAAUUGUAUUGAACAUAUAUAAGGUCAUUGAGAUGUUUCUGUGUCAAAAAACUUCUAUAUUUGCUGUGGAUGAGGGCGAAGAUGGAUCAGUUGCGCUCACAACCACUCGAGAAGACCGUCUAGAAGAGAUUCAAAUAGCUAGUCGCUUAAAAUUUUUUGCGAACAAACCAAAAUAAAUCCACCAUAAAAAUAUUCAAAAAAAUUACAUAUAAGAUAAUAUCAUAUUAAUACUCAUCUAACGCCAGAUAAAUGUCCUCUUGAUAUGUAAUAUACCUGGAUUCAUUCUUUUCUUAUAUAUGACAACUGCUAAGACUCCAAAGCUGCUAGUGCCCUUUCUAAAUAUUUUGGUCUGUUAAAAAAAAAUCAUGUUGUAAUAUGUUAAUAAUUGAAGAUACCAAUUAACUUACAUAUGUCACUUAUGUUAACUUACCUCUUCUAAACAUAGGGCCAUGACUGCUGGAUCAAGCUCCAUCUUGUAAAUCACAUUGCACAAAAUGGCUAGAAAUUCGUCAUCCAUAUCGAUUCCAGCUACGGUGUACUAAAACCUCGGAUUUAAGUAGUAUGCUACAGAUAGAGUUCGAUAUUGUUUUAGUAAACUUGUACAAGUACAGAAGCAUACUAAUUUUUAAUGUUCUUGCUUGCUAAAUGCAAAUCCUUACCUAUCUGAUAGUCCCACCGUUGCUCAAUAAUGUCGAUGUACUCUUAGGCAUAUAGUGGAUUUGUCUCUUUGAUCUGAAUCAUUGUCCUCCAUCAUAUGAUAUAAGAAGCCCAUCUAGGGAUACCUCUCACUGUCCACGACCCGAAACACUUCAUGCAAUGGCCUGAUAGCCUUCUCUAUCUUCUCGGCCCACUGCCAAAAUAUCAGCCUCAUCACCAAGUCCUUGACAAUGCUCCCUUUCAUGCCGGCCCUUGCAAAUCUACUUUCUUGCCACUCAGGACUACACACAUUUGACGUAUAGCUGUUUUUCUCUCAAGGCUAUCAAGUGCAACGUAGUUGGUAGCAAACUAUGCGACUCCUAGUAUCAAGAUCUCCUUCUUAGCAUACCUUCUCAUCAAUGAAAGAACCCAUGUAUGAUUAUAAAUAUAUAUAAUAAUGGUUUAGGCUAUCUCCAUUGUCUGCUACACCCUAUGAAUCUUCGCAAUGUCCAUUAACAUGAGGUCGAUACAAUAUGCAGAACAUAGGGUCCAAAAAAUGUGGUUGUCGCUCCAUCAAGAUCUCUCCGGCAGCCUUAUAUUAUGGCACAUUAUCAAUGAUGACCUGCACAACAUUCUCCUCUCCUAUCUGAUCAAUUACCUCCAAUCUGAGAAUAUACAUGGUGUUGCGCACUUGAUCGGAAGCAUCAACUGACUUAUGAAAGAAAAUUUUCAUAUCACAAUAUGUCAAGAAGUAGAUAAUGCUCCAUCUGAUAGGACUGAUCCAACCAUCACACAUCACCAUCAGUCCAUAUAUGGGCGACUUGCUCUUGUAUGAGACAAUCUACUUCUCUAGCUUCUCAUUAUUGUUAAGAAGCUCACUGUAGAUAUCCUUCGGUAUUGGAGGAUCUACACCGGCAUCGACAACCUAUAUGGAGAAAAUGGCGCAGCUAUAGUACAUAUUGUCUUCUACAUUAACUAGAAUAUGGCUGAAAUAGAACUAGGAUCCAAUAACUCACCAAAUAUCCUUCUUCUCAGCUUUCUUCAGCAUUAUGUCAAAUCUUUGUUGCUUCGAAUCCUUUUUGAAAAAGGCGUGUGGAUCUAAAUCAUGGAUAGUGGCUCCUGGUGGAAUCUCUCUAGAUGACUUUUUUUUGCUACCAAAAGCCUCAGCAUAGAUGCAUUACAGCCACCAACUCUGCUAAGGGCCUCCCCGACUGAGGUUUUCCUGAACUCCGGAUCUACUUUGCUGCUUGUAGAAUCGGAGUCCGACUUGUAGUAUGAGAGCCCAAAUUGAGCUCUAUGCCUGAAUGGCAGCAAUGGAUCUAUGUCUCCUCGUCAUCUGGAGCAGACGCCUCCUCUGACUCUCUCGAGUAAUAGGAAGGUAACUCUGUUGCUUGAUGGUCCACCUCUGCCUUCUUCUUAGCAACACUCUCCUUCGCUACUUUGAAAUCAGCGAAAUGCUUCUUCAUCAGCUGUCGAACUUCUUAUGAGCAUUUUUGGCACAUACAUAAGUUGAGAUAACUCCUAGCUAAGUGUUGCUUGAACUUGGUUACUCCUUCUCCCUUGAACUCUGUGUUGCACCAGUUACACAUUCAAUGGUGCCGACCCGAGAGCAUUUGCCCAUGAUCUCAACCAAUGUCACGCUCUGGCUUCUUUUUCUUCAAUGGUUUCAUUCCUGCAGGUUUAUCAAGUACAUUAAUUUAUCAAUUAUUUAAAAAUAGCAAAAUUUUAUUACAAUGAAGGUAAUUUUUUUAGUUCAAAAAAUAUAUCUGAUUUAUCUAAUACAUAAUCCAGAAUCGGCGGAACCGUCCCGAAUCGGAUGGUUCCGUCCGUUCCAAGUCGUCCCGGCGGCUCACCGAGACAGUUUCGGCAACAGAAACAAAAACCGUUGCCGGAGGCAGAGAAGAAAGAAAGAAAAAGAGAGCGAGCAGGGGAGGAAGAGGGAGGAAGGCUGGUGGAGGGUGGAAGAGGGCCGGCGAAGGCCGGUGGAGGGUGGCGGUAGGCGGAGUCACAGCUGUUCUCCUAUUUCAUUCGAAAUAAAGAUCCAGCCGCUAAAAAAUUUUAAACUUUUUAAGCGAAGUCGGCAAAUCGCUUGCCAACUUCACUUAAAAAUAGCAAAUUUUUUAAUUUUGCGAUUUUUAAGUAAAAUCGGCAAGCGAUUUUGUCGAUUUCACUUAACAAUCACAAUUUUUUUAGCGUUCAGGCCCCCCUAUUUCAAACGAAACAAGAGAAUGGCCGCGGCCUCCACUACUGCCCCUCCAUUGGCCUCCAUCAGCCUUCCACUCUCCUCUUUUUCUCUUCUGUUCGUCCUCUCCUCUGCCUCUUCUACUAUCAGUACGGGCCCGCACCGACUCGUCCUAUCGGACCACUAAUACGAUGCCCGAUACCGAUUCCGCCAACGUUGCAUAAUACUAUUUUUUUAUAAAUUUUUAUUUAUAGAUUUUUAAUAAAUUUUAAAUUAAAAAAAUAUGUUUAAAUACAAUAAAUUCAAAAAAAAUAUUUUUUAUUCAAAAAAUACCUCUGAAAUAUGUAUUAUGUACUACUAAUUUUCAUAAUUUUUGGUAUUAAUGAUAUAUUUUUAAUUUUUUAAAAUUUAAAAAUAAUUUUUAAAUAUAAAUAUUUUAAAAAAUUAAUUUCAGCUUAGAUCCAUGUAGAACCCAAUAAUGGAUGCUACAUAUAUUUUUCUAAGCUCGUGGGCAUGCAUCAAAGGCUACUUAUUUCUUAAUUUUUUUCAAAUUUAGGCUUGGAUAUUCCUUUAAUCGCGCUGAAUCGGUGUGAUUUUUGUCGUGGGAGAAAGGGUAGACAUUUAGAAAAAAAAUAAAUGUUGGGAAGACCGGAGAAAUUUCUCGGGCCUUCCUAACAUCCUCUAAUAACAAAAGAAAGGGGGAGGGGGCCUGAUUCCGAACUGGCCAAUUCGAGACCGGUCCCGAUUUUAACAGCCGAACCGACCCGGUCCCCCACCGGGUCGGCUCGGUAUGGGCCGAACCGGGCGGUUCGGUCCAGUUUGGUUGACCUUGGUUUAAACCUUCAAAAAGCUCUCAUUAUUUUUGAAAAGCUAUUAUAUAGAAAAAAGAUAAUCAGAAGCACUUAUGAUUAUGAACAUUCAAUCAAUGCUCAAGUCAUCAAGCAAAUCAAAUAACAACCAUCAAAAGAAAUGCCUCGUCUUCCAUCAGUAAUGGUGAAUAAGCUGUGCAGUGAAAUCACUAGAAAAGUAGCAGACGUACAGUAUUUUACUUUGCAUAUUGAAAAAUAAAUGUGUUGGAAAUUCAAAUUAAGAAACUGUAAGAUCAGAUCAUUGAAGGUAACUUGUAAGAAACAAAGGUAUAAUCUACUAUUGAACUUACGAGCGAACUGUUUCAUAGUUGUGCAAAGAGAGAUCUAGAAGAUCCUCCAUAAGAACAAUCACGUGCUCUGAAGGAGAGAUGUUGCUAUCUGUACGAAAUUUAUGAUACGACGAUUGUGAAGAUCUCCAUGUAUUAAGCAUGUAUGCCUUGUCAAUAAGUGCCCACCUGGGCCUGGAAACACGAAGCAUAACUAGCCUCUUAGAGCAUAAAAAUAACCAUAAAUUUAAUGCUCUAGUCACAUGAUACCGCCACUUAUUGACAAAAUGAGCUAUCACCUUUUCUUUCCUUGGGCAUGAGAAAACACAAUAAAAUUACAAGGAGGCUCAAUUAAAGCAGCAGAUUCCAACUUCCAUGCCUGAAUGUGAUUUGACCAUUCUUUAUAUUCCAAGCUUCCUAUAUGUAUAUUAUGCAAAGAAUAAUAGCAGAAAGGUCAUAAGCACAAUAUCUUGUGAAGUCAAAAACACUAAUGAACAACUUGCAGGACUCCAUAAUGUACUUUAUUUGGUUGCCGUGUUCGUACCAAAAUUUGCUAAAGCAUCCAUAACAUGAAUGGUAAGUAUUAGAAGUAUGCUAUCAUCUGUUCUUUCUUUCAGUAAAUAUCUGUCAAACAUGUAGCAGCAAAUGAGCUUUAGCAAGACAAGAGAAAAGACUAAGAAAUACUAUCAGGCAUCAAGCAUUACUUGCAAGCUACAUGUAUAUGAUGAGCAGCUCUUUCCCUCAUUUCUGAGCUACCAACAGACAAGCCAAUUGCUCCCGAUAUUAAAAAGUCACUAUGAUUCAUAUCUUCAGUGCCCUUGUUCCAAUAUGAUGGACGCAUAUCAGGCAAGCAUGACAUCACGCCUUUCAAUGAAGAGUAAACACGCAACAAAGUCACCUUCAGGUGUUCCUUCUCAUCGCCUAUGCAAACAAUUGCAUCAAUAAUUAUAGCAACACUUGCAGAGUAAUGCAAAUUGGCACACGAUUGAUCACCAGAAAUUAAACAACUUUCACAAUAGGAAUGAACCCGAGCAGCAGACCAACACAUAGACUCUUAACUGAAUUAAGUAACAAAAAUUAAUGGCAUAGAAUUGAAAAUUCUAAUGCAAUAAAAGAUUAGAUAGGCAAUCUUAGUCAAGAAUUCUCCAACAAAAUUUUGUGAUUGCUCUUUUGUUUUUUCAUGAGCUUAGCCUAGGAUGGCAAUCAAUGAUAAAUUCCAAAAGGUCAUCAUACAUAAAUGGGAUAAAUCCUGGUUUCUAAGGUAAUUCAAUUCCUUGAAGGGGAAAAAAGAAUAAUUCCAUGAAACACCUAAUGCAUUAUGUAACGAAAUACAACAGUUUGCCAGUAUCUACCAUUUAGGGAGAUAUUUGGAUUGGGUUCUUUCAUCAAUUCAAGAACUGCUAACAGGAACAUUUUAAAAAAAAGGAAGAUACGUUAUAUUUACCUGCCUCAGAAUGCAUUUUCGUCUGACAUAUUCUGAGAAGAUCAUCCAAAGCAGAUUGAAAAUGAAGAUCUAAAAGCUCAUUUGCAAAAGAGAGUUCAUCUUGACUAGGAAUGUGCCACUCGGGGAGAUAAUUGAGCUUCUUUUUUAUUUCAUUUUCAUAAUCUUUGGAGCAAACCCAGUCUUCCAAAACAGAAGAAACAGGCUGACAAGAGAAAGGCCUACACAACCAAGAUUAUACAUCAGUGUAUGUAAACAUUGACCAGAAACUAUUUAGUCUGCACAAAUAUAUGAUGUCUAAUGACAGGAAAUGAUAAAUUUCUUCAUACUUGUGCUGGUUGAUGGGGUAAAAGAGGACCAGGCUUCCAAGGAGAGAGCGAAGGACAUGAUCACCAGCUCCAUUGACCUAUCAUUUGGAAGCUACCUCAGCAUUACCAGAGUUAAAAAGAAUUAAAAGAAUUAAAAAAAAAUACAUAAACAAAGCAUCAAAAAAUUAACUGAGUACAAGUAGUCAUUAAAAAAUGAUGCAGCAUGAAAUUAGCUUAAAACCUUCCAUGACGGGGCCUGAAAUGCUGAUGCAAUUGCUUCUUUCAGUUCAUCCUUGUAAUGAAGCAACACAGGACCCCCAUAACUAAUGGCUAUUGCCAAAACUUUUAGAAGGUACUCAACUGCUGUUUCCAGGGCUGGUGAAAGUGUAGCCUGCAACUAAAUGAAGUUCACAACAGAACAUUAAGCAAUAAAAGGGACAUUAUAACUAUUUGGUAUAAAACAAACCUUGGUAGAAGAUGAUGUACCAGAAGAUCCUCCACCAAAACCUGAAACCGGUAUUUCUCUUAAUGAGGUGGUUAUAGCCAUUAGGAUUGGUUUAAUAAGGUGGAUUCCUGCCUCUUCUGGAUUAGAAUGAACACAGGCACAACAAAGAAGCCCAAUCUCUACUGUAGCUCCAGGAAGGAUGUUUGUGUUGACAAACUUGGAAAUUUUCUUUAGUGACUGAAAAGUUUUACAAGGGAAAAAAGGGAGUUAUAACAUCACCAUGAUCUGAAACGGAAGAGAAAAUGAUGGCAACUAAACAGCUUGACAAUAAUAACAAAAACAAAAACCUGAUUAAACAAAGGUGCAGACAAUUUCCCAAGCAGGAUUUCCAGCAUGAAGAAAUAGAAUGAAUUGUCAGCAACAAGAAACGUUCCUGAUGUUAAUGAUGUCUGGAUACCCUCAUUCCUGCAGGUUCCAUAAAACAAAGAUGAUUUAACUAGUAAUUGGAUUUUAUCUAUAUAUAAACAUGGAAGAAGCACUAGCAUGGAGUAAAGAUAUCCUAAUCCAUGAAUGGAGCUACUUACACGACAUUACUUGUUUCCAAAUGUUGAAGCAGAGAAAAUAAGCGACAAAAGAACUCAUCUAGCCAUUCUGAUAAACUGAUGGUUUGCAGGAAUGCAGGCCCAUCAUCACUACCACCCACCAUAGCUAGCUGAAAUUACAAACAAAUAGUAAGAUCAAACAUAUCUACAUUACUAAAAUGAGACGUACAAAAUGUACAUUGAUACUUACGUUGGAAAAAAUAGAACCAAUUAAUUGCAUGGUUGCUAAGGUCUUUGGUGGAUCAUUAGCAUCCAUACCAAGCAAUGCAUUAGAAAGAGAUACGACUAUAAGAUCCAUGUAAGCAUCAGCAGUAUCCCGGUCAUCAGUUUGAGGGGGAGCAGAAACAGAAGCAAGAAAAAGUGAACGGCCAGCAAAUGCCACUGAUGUGACAGCAGUUUUCAGCUGGUGAGUAGCUGUCAUCUUGUUCACAUCAAAAAAAAGUAGCUGUAAUCUUGUUCAGAAACCAAAAAUAUAACUCAUCUGUAAUCAAAAGAAAAAGCUUAUAAAGAAGAAAACCCUCAAGAAAAUUAUUGUUGGUCUUGUCACGUCUAGAUGUUUAUAAUAAAUUAAGUGGCUGAGUAGUAAGUAUCCAAAAAUGCUAGAUUCAUCUAGAAUACCAGCAAGCUAGUCAGUUCCAGAGCAUAAAAGAAGAAAUACUUACAGUCUCUAAGGCCAAUUGAAAUCUGGAUGCAAUAAAUGGAAGGACCAAAGAGGGCUCCACAUAUGACAAAAUUGAAGUUGCUACAGCAACUGUUUUGGCAAGGGAUUCAUUUUUGCUAUACUGACCACGAUCAAUUAAUUUCAGUGUCACUUUGACAAAAGCAGCCCUUUCUAGAUUUCCCAAACAUGAAUCAACCUGUUUCCUUUCUCCUGUCUUACUGCAUAUAUGUAAUUUUAAUCAGACAAAUUUAUGUGGACUGAGCAUUGAGGAUUUAUAACUAACUUGCAUCAGCAUCUAAAUUGACUUCUUACAGCUGCUCAUCCUUAAGGCGCUUUUGGAAGCUAAUCACCAAGUGCCGCAAGAAACGCUCCAAUGAGUAUGUCCAGCGACCUCCAUUAGAAGGAUGGUAAUAUCUACAUUGCCAGAAACUACCAUCAAUUUAAUUCUGAAAGGAAGUGAUAUCACGAAAAGGCAUCUCUAAGUGAAAAGUGAUCUGAAAGAGGUCAGAAACGGACUGUUCUAAUAAUUUUGCCAAUCUCUCGAAGUACUCUUGAGCCAAACUACCAGGCUUUAAGAGAUGCACCUGAGAUAAUACGAUAUAUCAUAUAAGUUAACAAACUAAAAUAUACUAUGCAAAUUUAGCAGAGUUUCAAUUGAAUUCAUAUUUCCUUAUGAUGGAUACAUGAGUCCUUAUGACAAAUUAAUUUGGCAUAACAAAAGUACAAAAGAUGUCUUACAAUUGACUUUGCUAUAGCCUCAGCAGGUGUGCCUGUCUUGCUGGGAAACAAGAACCACGUAUUCCUAGGGACCACUAAAGGGAAGGCAUAUGAUCCAUUCCCAUUUGAAACAGGAACCUGAGCACACCAAAUAGCAUAACAUNNNNNNNNNNNNNNNNNNNNNNNNNNNNNNNNNNNNNNNNNNNNNNGAAAAGUGAAAUAGCAAAAUGCAUUUAGGCUUAAAAACAUAGCAAAUUACAUGAGGAAGUUGGUUUUACUUUCUAGGUUUAACUUAUACCAUUGGCUAUCUUACUAAACCAAGGUCCGAGUGUCACUAUGGUACAUGCCUUGCUACUGACACUCAGCAUAGGGGCUGUACCAGUACAGUGCAGUAUACCCCUUAUCAAUCAGUACAACAAACCAUGUACUAAAUAUAAGUGCCAGACCAAAAGGAGUCCAAGAAGCAUUUCAAACAAAUAAACACCAAAACAACCUCUCCACAUGAGCAGAUAAGGCUGCGUGCAUCUGAUCCACUACAUACCCCGUAGUGGAGGGAGCCUCAUGCAUAGGACACUCUUCAUGUUGUCUCGGAUACUACAUAAAGAAGUAAACUACCUAAAAAUCAUGUUAAAAUGUUGACCAGUUAGGCAUAAUCUUUUUCUCUUUUUCUAUUGCCUAUCUCAGCUAGUAUGCCACACAGUCAUCAGGAAAACAUCUUGCCUCACCUCAAACAUGUUUAAGAAUCGUGUAAAAAGUGCUGGCAAAAAACCUUCCCAAUCAAUUGACUUGCAACUCUUUGUACAACGCGCAAUGACAGAAGCCCACUGAAUAUCCCAAAAUUGGCAAUUUGGUACAGAAUCCCAGAGAUCAAGACACUGCUUAAGCCAAAUGCUGCAGCCAGAAGUAACAAUGGAAGGCAAACAAAUAGUUGCAGAUGGUGGAGAAAAGUAAAUCAUGUAGCUCUUAUAUAUGUUUUUCAUGUACCUUGUAAAGUAGUUCCGAUUCUCCAAGUUCAUGGGUAGAAAGAGUCUCACAAAUCCAGCACCUCAAAGGCUGAAUUAUGCCAUGGAUUUUCCAUUAAAGCGCUGCUAAUUUUAAGUGACACAGAGAAGUGCAACCAAGAGGAAAGCUAGUGAGCAGGAUUACAACUUUAUAAUGUUCAAAUUCAAGUAGAAUCCCCACAAUUGAUUGCAACUUGUAAUUUCGGCAGAUACAUGGUGUUGUUUGUCUGCAUGGAUCUAACUUCUAAUGAUGAAAAGACAACAUUAUUAGAGCCAGAAAGAAAUGCAUGCCUCUGGAACACUAAUUAAUCACACAUACAAAGGGGAAGUAAAGUAAAAUGCAAUAUCAACACUGAUUAACUGAAUAACAUGGCAAGUGAAUGGCAUGAUAAAUGAUUGUCAAUCUAACACUAUAAAAUACAGAUUUGAAGAGAUGCAUAUGAAAUAUUUAUUCAUUGCUUGUAUCAAGAAACAAAGGUAAACAUUGCCAACAGGGACUGCUGACAUCUCUUGAGCCAAAAAGAUGCUUGCUCGAAUGAUUCUUCUAAAUGUUGAAACAAGGGCUUAUAGGUCAAUUACGUAUCACAUUAAUGUAGACCUAGCCACAUUAAUUAUCUGACUUCCUUUUUUAGGCUCCUAGUAAUCAGCCCAAAGUUGGGCUGGCCCAGUUGGGUAAAUGACUCGGGUUUGCAUCAAGUAAACUGACCCACUACUAGUGUUGGUUAAUCCUUGUCCAACAUGCUGGCAGGUUAGGUUGGACUUGUGUCAAUCCAAUGCUGAACUGCCACACCUAGUAGAAGUCUACCUGACCCACUGGCACAUAUAUUUAAUCAUCUACUGCAUGAGAAUUGUGCAUUGGGGGCCCAUCAUUGAUUUCCAUCAAUUCUAAAUUUUAAUUGGAAUCAUUGGUGGGAUUCUAGUAUUUUCAUCAUAGCCUUGUAUCUCUGUGGUAGUUGGAAAUGACAUUGGUAUUAUUUUUUCCCGGGCAACUCAAGUUCCUGAAGACAAGCCACAUCGUUAAAAUUAUGGUGUAACAGAGAUUUAAGGGCCCACCUGAGCAAAUGGUUAGAACCUGCAACAGUCUACAAAAAUUAGAAAGAUUCUAGAACAUCUAGUUUCUACAUAUAUAUCUAAGAUGGCCUUGGGCUAGUUGGAAAGAUCCCUUCGAGAUCUAUAAUCAUGAAGUCGAUAUUUUCAGCCCUUGGUCAAAUUCACUUGUUUUGAGGACCAAGACUGGCUAAAGACUUCAGCUGUAAUUUAGCGGCAAAUUUGUUCCAGUUUAUGUGACAUUAGUCAUCCACUAGGCAUUGUUUAGUUAAAAGCUGGAGAUACAGUCAAGAUUAGAAAUUCUCUAGGGUUACUAUUGUUGGCAAUCUAUUUAAAAAGCUAUCAGAAGGGUUGCAAGCAGAUUGGUUCUUUUGAGAUUUAACAAUUAUGAGAUUUAAGGAUAUAUAUACCAUGGUCUACCCCGCAUUUUCUUUUCUCCUCCUCUUGACCCUCUUCCUAUUCUUCUCCUUCUAUAAUUAAUAUUCACUUCUUCCUAAAGAUUCUAGGGGUUCUCCAAGUUCACAUUCCACAUCACAUUGCAAUGAGUUAGAUCCUUCUUUCUUGAUGAUCAACUAACUAUUGCAUCAAACCAUGCAAUGUGCUUCAUAUUAUGAUAAAAAAACCAAGGCAGUCAAGCAAAUACAGCUAUUUAACAUGGGAAUAGUGUAAUAAAGUACCUAGUGCUUGCCAUAAACAAUAAAUAAUUAGUCUAUUGAUUGCCUAAUAAGAUAGGCACUACAACUCAACAAUUCUUUAUAAUUCUAGCCACUACAAGUCAACAAUUGCCUUUAAUCUGUUGUUCACCAAUAUAAAUUCACCUUUCUUAUGAGUCAUCAAGAUAGAUAUCUUGCACCUAGCAUGCCUUAUAAUCCUAGCCACUACAACUCAACAAUUGCCUUUACUUUGUUGUUCACCAAUAUAAAUUCAUUUAUCUUAUGAGUCCUCAAGAGAGAUAUUGCAUCUAGCAUGCCGGGUGAUUUUCCCCUAGAUCUAGAUAAAUUCAUUUAUUUUAUGAGCCCUCAAGAUCGAUAUUUUGCAUCUAGCAUGCCUUAUAAUUCUAGCUUUAAUCCGUUGUUCACCAAUAAUUUCAUUUAUCUUAUAAGUCCUCAAGAUAGAUAUCCUGCAUCUAGCAUGCCAGGUAACUUUACCCUAGAUCUAGAUUGACUUUUCCUCUUCUUAUGAGUCCUCAAGAUAGAUAUCUUGCAUCUAGCAUGCCUUAUAAUUCUAGCCACUACAACUCAACAAUUGCCUUUAAUCUGUUGUUCACCAAUAUAAAUUCAUUUAUCUUCUGAGUCCUCAAGAUAGAUAUCCUGCGUCUAGCAUGCUGAAUGCUUUUCGCCUAGAUCUAGAUUGACGUUUUGUCUUCUUCUUCUUUGUUUGAGGAGGUUCCGACUUCUGCUCAAUGAUUAAGAAUUACUAUUUUGCUGAUUUCCGCUUUGAUCAUGAUUAAUUCUGAUGAUUGGCUGUUGCAAGCCAAGUUAAUGAGAAUUCCCCUGCUGGUGUUGUUAUUUAUAUUAAUUUAACCAUCACGUUCAGAGUAAAACUCAGAUUUUUCACCAGAGAAUUCUCCAGAAUCAACAUUGACAAAUGUUCCACAACCCUAGGGUUCACCUAAAACCAACAAGACACAGCACCAAUUCAAAAGAUUAUGCAAUGUAAAGACUCAAACAUGAAGUCUAUAGACCUUAGAUGUUUUAUAUAAGUCACAUAAGAUGAUCAUGAUAUAGAUAGGAUUAGGCUCAUUGGUACUUGGUCAAUAUUUGUGUUUGAGUUGUCAGCUAAAAUGUUUCCAACAAUCAAAAGUUCAAAACCUAGUUUUUUUUUUCUGAGACAUUCAAAACCUAGUUCACAGCAUUACGUUGAUUAAAGCUAACCUCCCAAAACCUAAAGGUUCUAAUUCAAUUCUUUCUGGAGUUUUUAAUCUUUCAAGACUUUUUGUUGUCCUUACUAGUUUUUAAAUGUCAUAUGCCUAACCAUCUACCUUCCACUUAAAGUUAAGUGGCUACUGAUCCCACUGUAACCUUUCAUCAACCUAUGGAAUACCACCGAUAUUAGGAACUCCUAAACAUAAGAAUGCUGACAAGUUUUGCAAUCAAGUUUCAUAAAACAAAGAAAAUGGAUGGGCUACACUUGACAAAAAAAAAAUAAUAAUUUGUAGCAUGGUUUCUCCAAAAGAACCACCCCACCUGGAUUUCAUAUCAGCAAGGUGAGGUGAUAACUAGUUCUGUUCUCUUUUUCAUUAUCAAAGGCCAGGCCAGCAAUAUCAUUGACUGUAAUGUUUCUGGUUGACAAGAAAUUUCCCAACCACCAAGUCAUGCAUGACAAUAAACUUAAAAACCAAUGAAGAAAAAAGCAGGUACCUGAACUCUGACCAUAUUUCAGAAGCAGAACCUGCAGGAAAGAACAUCCGGCAGGAUUGGAUAAGACGUGUGACAGUUUCAAAAUGCCGCUGCCUCAAUCUCCAUCCCUCAGGGCCUGUAUUUCUGCUUAACAUAAACAUACUCAAGUUUUAAAAAAAGGUGAUCCAAAUUUGAACCAAAAAUUCAGUUAGUGAGAUAACUCCGCCAUAAUAAAGACCAGCUACAUCCUUAAAACAGUAGGUCACGCAAGAAAUUCACAAGUCAACAAUGAAAGAAAAUGAUGAUACAAAGGCAAAGCUCCAGACAAGUACUAAGAGAAAAAUAGAUUCAUGAUCUCUGCAAUUUGAUUUGCCAAGACAGCAAAAGUUCAUUCAAAGAAUAAGGUCGCUAUGUACAUUAAACCAUUUGGAUUGCAUCCACAUGAGAAUUGUUAUGACUACAUAGUUCUAUAAGCAAAUUUUAACCUGAUAUUAACCCUCUUAGUGGUCUCGAGUUCCUAAAUGAAAUGGUUCGGGAUGCAAAAAGGACCUGUCAUCAAAUCUAGACACCAAGAUGGUGGAUCAGGAGAUAGCUAGGCAGAUUAAACAAGCAUCCAAGAAGUAACCUCCAACACUAAGUUUCCUUAGUCUUGUAGAGAGUCUAGAAGAAGAGAGGAGAAGACACAUUUUAUGCACAGUGUUAGAUUUACCAUGGGACAGUUACAUGCUAAAAUACCUUCCUAGUGUGCAAAUUGUGUCUUAACUUAAUAACACCUCCAAGCGACAGUAGUAUAUAACUAAAUCUAAUUUGACAUAGGGCAGCACAGUGCAUAAGGCUCCAGUCAUUGCAGCAUACAAAGAGGAUAUAUUCAUGUUUCGAACCCAUGACACCUAUGUUGCAAUGGAGCAACCUUACCGUUGUGCCAAGGUGAGAUCUCUAAUCAGAUCUUCCAUUGUUCUCCUUGACUACACUGUCAUUCCUUUUUCUCUAAUCAGAUCUCUUGUUUCCAGGAGAAGGUUGCUUUAAAUUUCCCAACUUCCCAAUACCACAUACAAGUAAGGUUUCAUCUAAGUGAUAGUCAUGAUCAUCAGCUAAACGAUAGAGAUGAAUAGGCAUGAGGAUUCAUAACUAUAUAUUAUGGGCACUUGAACAUUUCAAAGUUAAAAAAUCCAAGGAUGACUUACUCCUGGAUCAUGAACAACAUGAGAAUACACCACGAAGAUCUGAACAAACUGGAAGAGUUAAAUGCCUCUAUUACUAAGUUGACAGUGACUUACAUAACUACAAGAUGUGCGCAUGCUACACAAUAUACAAGAACAGCCUUGAUGAUGCGUUUGCUUUGAGGAUAUGAAGCAGUAGGACCGGAGGGUUAAACAGGAAAAAAUCACCGUUUAAAGUGUGUGUGCAUCAAAGUGUCGUAGAAAGGUCUCCACUGAAUGCUCAUUGACUUCGUUAAUUUCUUUCCAUGGUUCUUCAGCAGCUUGACUAAGAUAUUUCCCCAUCUAACCUAAAUAACAUAAACGAAAUUCAGAAUCACACUACAACAAUAAAGCAAAAUUUCAUCAAAAGCAGAACAUACCAGUUGAAUCCCAUUCAUAUUAUAAUGGCAUAAGUAUCAUGCUUACCUGAGCAUAAAGCUUGUUCUCUGAUGCAUGAAACACCUGCAAACCAAACUCCACAAUCUCCUUUACAUCUGCCGGAGAAACUUCACUUUUUGCUUUUAAGAAACUAGAAAAGAUUGGAAAAACAAAAGGUGUGACCCCACGGCAACAAUGAACAGUUAAAAAGUUAAUUAGAAUAACCAAAAGGAUAAACAGGAGGAAAAAGGAAAGAUGGAUUGAUAGAGCAAAACAACGAGGGCAUCCAUCCUCACAUUCCAUGAAAAACAAAACAUGAGUCAAGAACAAUUAAAACACCAAGAAACGAACUAGAACUUGAAAAUUGAAACUAUGAAAUCCAACGUCAUCAAAUCUUAGAAAAAAAAACAAUCUUUAGCAUUUACUAUUAACCGUCACAAAUUUUCGCUCACUAAGACCGUCAAGAAAACCAACACUGAGCUCAAUAUCAAACAAAUUUAUCAAUUUGAAGCGCCUGAGACGACAGAAAACAAUCAAAGAUAAACCCUAGAAAUCAAGAACGGGGGCAAAUCAAGAAACGAGUGAAAGAGGUGGGGAGGAGAGAAGAAAAAAGAGAUAAACAAAGGAUCGACUCACAGGCCGAUGAUGGAGAUCCACUCGAGGGUGGAGUAGAUGGAGUCAGGAUCAUCCGGCCGCCACGAAUCCUUCACGGAUCUCACCACGGCGGCGAACGACUCCGCCUCCCUCUUCGUCUCCUCCGCCACCGGCGGCGGAAGCCAUGCGUUGUAGAGAUGCACUCCCCCCCCCCCGUCCCCUCGCUCUCUCCUCUCUCGCCGUAAGCUGCUUGCUCGGGAGUAGGCGAUUUCUUGAUUUCGUGCGCUGGGGACCGGUCACAUAUUUAUCCUGCUCUCCACUGUCCUCGUCCUCAAGGCGAGAAGCGCAGUACAAUAUUUCUCUCGUUUCGUCUUUCCCCGGGGGAAGACGCGCAGGCUUGACUGCCUGUACGAACACAGCGGGUCACCGGCGUUGACCACGUGUCUUAUUUUGAUUGGUGUGAGAGAAAUAGAGCGGUCGGAAAGGCUAACAAGUCACGCGGGCUUUUGUCUUUUGUAGACCGUCCUUUUUUUUUUUCCGGCCUGGUGGUUGGUAGCAACUGGGAGUCUGGGAAUAUAGUGCGAUUUGGGUAAAAAAAGUUCGCCAAUUUACCCGUGUUCUAAAUAGUUUUCCAAUUUAGUCAUGUCAAAAAAACUUUGUUGCUAAAUUGAUUUUAACGAUCUAGGAGAUAGGUGAGUUGGCUUUCCAUUAGUCAGGUAAAAACAUCCCAUAUUUUUUGUUCCCAAAAUACAUCAUUAUAUGCUAAUACACUAAUAAAUCCUAAUUGCUCACUUGUUUUCUUUGUUUCCGACGAACCCUAACCAAGGUGGUAUAGUUGUAAUCCCCGCCCAAUUUUGAGCCAAAAGAUUGACGAAUUCUGGUUGGACUUUUAUAUUUUUCGCUUAAAAUUUUCUUCUUUUUCUUUUAGUUGGUGAGUUUUACAUUCUUUCUCACCAACAAUUCUGGAUAUCUUGAUCUAUGUUUCUCAAAAGAUACAUUUCACAUUAUUUUUGGAUAUUAAAAUUUUUAUCUUUUUUUAUUUUUCCAAUACUUGACUAUGUAAAUCUUGUAUUGAUCUCUAAAUAUGUUGUUGCAGUUUGUACAAAUUUGGGUGAUAUAACUUCUUUUCUUCUAACUUUUUUGGUGAUCAAAAUUUAGUUAUAUCAAUUUGGGUUUUUGGAUUAAUGUAUUCAAUAUUGUUGCCUCUUGUGCAACAGUAUCGAUUUUUGAAUAGUUAGGAGAUAAUAGAUUUCAGAGCUACUUUCUAAUGCUUAAAAGAAUAUGGAUGAAUUAUUUUCUCAUCUACGUAUUAAAAAGAUAAUACUUAUCCAAAAAAUGCAUAUUCCCGAGUAAGUUUCAUGCUCCCCAAAGAACGGGCUCUUAAGUUAUCAUGCUGGAAGUUAGCAUGCCUAAUGAUUUGGCCACCAUCCAAUAUUUAGGCUUGUUUAAGCAACCAAAUAGAAUUGGACUGAAUUUUAUGCUGCCCUCAUGAAUUGAGUAAGCUAUUUGGGUAUGACCAAUGUUAAUCCAACACCUCUAUUCCGAAUCAUCUAGAGGAAAAUUUUUAAGACCCUGCUAUUCUUGGAGUUUAAAACAGGAUUUUUUAUCACAGAAUGUGAAGCUAAGCCCAAUCCAUGUCACCUGGACCUUUCCCCACCCAUUUUUCUAGAACCAAAAAAAAACUAUUUCCCUCCCUACUAAGGAUAUGUUUGGAGGAUUGGGCUGAAAAUCCUAUAGCAUUCUUGGGUUAGGCCAGUACAACCAACAAAAUUAUAGGAUUGUAGGCUGAACUAGGUUUAUAUUUAUAAAUAUCUAGGAGUAGCUUUAGAGUAGACCAGUCUGAAUAUAAGGAGAAAGAAAAAAAGGUAUGCCGGCCUUUUUGCUGGUUACACCAUUCCAAUCUAUAAAUUUUAUAGAAUUUUCAACCCAAUCAUCCACUCCAAAAAAAUAUAUGUGAAUCCUGUUGGAUCGUACAUGAUUAUCUAAGCAACCUUUUAUGUGGGUCUUUCUUUCUUCCUCUUAACAAGGCAUACUAACUUGAUAGUAUCCGACCUGUCAUGAUCCCGGCCGAAACUAUUUUUUACAGGAAUAGAACUUGGACGGACCAAUAGGCCAAUUUCUGAAAGAUAUUGCUACAUAAAUACGCAAACAGAUCCUUCAAAAUAAAAAGGAAAAAAAUCCUAUUAUCCUACUAGCCAUGGUCUGCUCUGUCUGGAUCAUAUACAUAAUUAACAUGUCCAAUUGUUGCGUCCAAUUCUCCUCUGUUGAAUCAUGCUCCGCAAGCUACGAUGCCCAAUUUCUAUUAGAAAAUUCUGCCGAUUCUCACUGGAUUUUUCAAACACGUGCAAAGCACGUGCUCACAGAUAUAAUCAGAGUUUGUUUCACCUUCAAGAACUCCAGGUCAGCCCAGGCGGACCUGACCUCACAGAUAUAAUCAAUGCAUAUAAAAGUCUAAAGGUAAAUCAUAAGAAAAAUUAGUACUUGUAAAGAAUGAAGCAUGCUAUUCAUUCCGGGGGAAUAAAUUUUAACCGUUCUGAAAUUAUGACAAAACUUGGCAUUUGACCAUAAGAUUUAAUGUUGUAUGCUUGUUCUCAGAGACAAUAAGAUGCAUUGCAAUGCAUGGUGACCAGGCUAAUUCCUUCACCCAAUAUCAAUCAUCGGAGCAUAACACUGGAAAACUUGUCAACCUCACAUAGGUCCUUUUAAUCCAAUGUCUUCCGCCCUCUGUUCAUUGAUCAUGAACAGAAAUUCUCAUACAAGUCAUGAAAUCUAUAUACAUUAUUGACCUUUUUCCUUAUCAACUUAAGCUUUUGAGGUCAAUUGAUUAGUCAUGCUAUCAAAAAGCUCGGUUUUGUUAGAAGCCUGGAUAUGCUUUAGUGAAAUACAGCACUAUGCUCCCCUUAAAGACCAUUGUAAAGAGACUGAAACGAGGCCUUGCCCUGCCAUUCUUAAUCAGGUGAGUAACUAACUUGACGGUUAGUGAAUAUUUGGCUGAUAAUGCUUCUACCUUUAAGAAACCUAAGUUCACUACACACUGCAUGUUGAAUUAUAAUCCAUACAAAAAAUAUAUUUAAUUAAUCACCAAGAAAUAUAUAAUAACAUUGAGGUUGCCUGCUAAUAAAAUAAACCUAACAAGCCUAUUAAAUACAACCUGAUGAAUGUAUAUACUGACAAAUCAGUAAACAAAAAUAUUCAAAGUUUAUGCAUCCAAAGGGAUCCAUUCCAAUUCAAGUUCCAUCUCUCCAGACUCCACAUUUUGCAGCUUUAGAAACACCUCUUGUUUUACAUUCCCAUUAAUGAUGUUUACAGUGCUAUCUUUGAUUAGCGCAUUAUCACUUGUUUUAAACCACUUCCCAAUCUGCAUGUCGCCAAGAAGCUUGGCAUCCCCAAAUGCCAUGGCAGCUGUUACCAUUGGUUGGAGAUCGACCUCAGCUUCACCCAUUAUAUCAUCAGCAGAGAACACAUCAUGAUCAAACACUUGCUGCUUAGACGAGAGAGAACCAGAUGUCAUAUUCCAACACAAUUCUUUAUUAGAUUAAAGUUGAGAGAGAAAUGCCAGAUUCUGUAGGCAGAGUCUGUAGGCAGAAAUAUGUUUUUCCAGAAAAAAUGAGUGUGAGUUGUGCGAUUACUGGGUAUAUUUUGAAUUUCCCCAGAAAAAAAGGAGUAUGAGUUGGGCAACUAGUGGGUAUACUUCGAAGCAUAGAAAACUCAUUUAUAUAAACUAACCAGUUUCAAAGCCCCAUAGCAUCGAGGAAUUGAUAGCGUAAGCUCCUCAUUCCAUAUUGGGUUUAAAUUGCUAUUUUUUACUGUUGUCUGCACCCUCUGCAAGAAUCCAUCAUCUAAUUAGCAUCCAGAUUCCCCAUUUUUAGUAAAGACUGUAUAGCAUGAAAUAAAGGUGAAGAACAUAAAUUGUUGAUAUAUUCUUCUAAAUAAGUAAGACUUUCAUGCACCAGAGAAAUAACUCACCUGCUGCCCAAGGGUUAAAACAACAUAUGGGUCACUAGUUAGCAUAUCUCGAACAGCUAAAUUUGUGCCUCUUAUCACCUUUACCCUUAAAACUCCAAUGAAUUCCCCCAUGUCUGCCUGUGAUCAUUUGACAACCUCAUGACUAAGUUAUCGUAAGGUAUAUUAAUUAGCCAAUAAACCCCAUCACACAAGUGUGACAAGUGAUAUGCUAAUAAUAAGAAACAGCAAAUACAUGUAUCCGUAGAUGCAUAGAACAGAGCCUCAAAUACUUCCUUAAACUAUAAAAUACAAGUAUAUGAAAGAUGACUCAUGACUUACUGCCUUCCUUGAGUUGUUUGAAUUAAAACUGCUGUCAAAAUUCUUUCCAGAUUCACAAGAUUUGAAAGACAUCUUUGAGGAGACAAUGCGCAAGCUUGGUUUCAAAAAUUCUUGCAACUCGUACUUAGACCUACAGAAGAAUAAAAGGGUGCUUUAGAAUGAGCAAUCAUCACUGAAAUAUGAAACAAUUGACCUUAUGGUAUACUCCACCUAAUGAACUUGGUCCGGUCCUCGUUACUUGAGUGUGGUUUUGGUUUUGGAUAUUCUUUAGGAAGGAAAGCCUCAUAAAUUGAAUUGGCAUAAGAAUUUCCACCAACCUCGACCAUAGAGUCAAUGUCACCAUCAGACCACUCAUCUAAUGUCACUGACAAAACCUGAAUGUGAAAAAAAGGCAAAAAAGAACCAUGAGCUAAACAUUGAUAAAUAAUCAAAUACAGUUCAUUUUUUUUUGGUAGACAAUCAAAUACAGUUAAUGAUAAGAAUUUUGAAGCAAUAAAGAUGCACAAAGGUUGCCUUCCCCCAGGAAUGCACAGAGAGAGAGAGAGAGAGAGAGAGAGAGAGAGAGAGAGAGAGAGAGAGAGGAGGAGGAGAGAGAGAGACNNNNNNNNNNNNNNNNNNNNAGGGAGAGAGAGAGCAACUCCUUACAAGGGUGCAAAUGGGUGGGGUUGGAUAUGGGACUGUGACAACCCAAAUUAAAUCCAAAUUGUUUUCAGUACAGGAUCUGGGGUCUUGAGAUAAAUCCACACUCAUGUACUCAACAGGUUCAGAAUAAAUUAACUUCGAAUUUGUGUUAAUCCAAGCUCAUAUGUUGCAUCCUACCAUGGACAUCAAUAUGAUGAGAUAUAGUCAGGUGAUAUCUUAUUUUGUGAACCCAACAACUCAGGUUGAGAGCAAGGUUUUGGUUCAGGAUCCAAACCUAGGGCCAGAUUUUUGGGUCCAAGUUGGGCCAAAACAAGAAUGAGUUUAGAUUUGAUCUGGGCCAAGAAAACUUGUUUGCACCUCUUGCAUCUUGGAAGUCCACAUUUCUAAAUAACUAAAUUCUUCGAUUUGCAUCUCACCAGUACAAAAAGGAUGUGACCUGAGGCUUACAGAUCCAUUUAAGUCAAGCUUAUCUCUCAUAAAAAAGCUGACUGCCGCUCAGUUACUUUGUUGGCAUCUUAAACAUGCUGCAAACAGGCAUAUGGAACCCGUCUCGCGCAUCUAGCAAGCUAUGAUUUAAGUGAUUUGCACCAAUCCAAUGCAUGCAUGGAAAUGUUGAGUGCUAGCAUCAGAAAUGAAAAUAAAAACAGAAUGCUUAUGAAUGAUAGCAAGCAGCCUAAGAAAACCAUGAUAUCAAUCACCACUUAUAUGACCUUUGAUAUAUCUGAACCAAGCCUCCUGUGAACAUCACUACAUUUUAAGCAUAUAAAGACUCCAAUGUUAGCUGACCUGUAAAGACAAACAAAGAAUUGUUCAAAUAAUAGGUUUUAAAUGCCAACUCAUACUCUAGCACAUCAAACACCAUUUUUGUAAUUGCAUAUAAACUACAGCUACCAAAAUUAAGCCUACCUAACGUUUAAUCUAAUGAACUAGUGCAAGAUAAGAAAUUCUCAUAAGAAAAAGGAGAAAGCAACCCAUCAUGUCAUUAGUGAUAAUUAAGUUAAAGAACACUAUCGUACAACUAAUGCCCAAGAACAUAUAAGAUUGAUUUGUUAUAAAAUUCAAGAUGAGUAGAUAUUUAAAUGCAGAAGUGUACCUGCAAUUUGGGACCUUGGGAGAUGUUUACUUUUUGUAAUUUUUGUUGUUUUAAGCAUAUGCAAAUAUUUAAUAAUCUUAUCUAUAUUGCUUUCUACACCAUUUAACAACUGAAACAGCAGAUAAUGAGAUAUUUCUAACUCGAAAGGCAUAAGAAAUAAAUAUGGUUAUCCAUAAUAUGGAUCCUGAUUCACAGAUUUUCAAAAUUAAUGGAAGCACAACAAUAUUGAAUUCUCAUGUACAAACUCAGUGUCUUGCCUCUAUUUAAACCAACAUUUCUUCUUCCUCAUUACUCUAUGACAAUUCUAUUGUGAAAAUACUAAUCAGUGACUCCUCUUUAUUUUCAUUUUGGCACAAGAGAGUGAAUUUUCCUAACUACACAAUUGAUCACCAUGACUUUCUUCAUCAGUUAAGUUUAUGUUGCUUUCCAACAUACAAUGAGGUGCCCCAUUUAAGAACACUCCCAUUGACCAGAUUAUUGAAGUUGGCACAAUGGCAUACAUGACUAUGACUACAUAACAUUCUAACUAUACCAGAAUCUUGGACUCGUCUGUUUCUUCCAGGACCUUAAAAUAGAGUUUCAUUGGAGUUCUUUUGUUGAGCCUUGUGAGCACUCACUUUGCUUCACAACAGAAGUUAAAGGGGCUGGGAGGGGGAAGAAUGCAGAUAUUAACUACAAGGGACUAAUGGAGUUAAGAAAGGCUGAACAUGAUCCAGAUUUCAGCCCCAUAAAGGAAUUCAAAAAAUUCUACUAUAAAGGAAAAUGUAAGAUUUGUUGUGCAUAAAUAGGACAAAAGUUUUUAAUACGGUUAAGAUGACCCUUCUAAAUGAAGUUCAAAUUGUCCUAACAAGUAAACUAAGAGGAAUCACUGGCAUAGGUCAACAGUAGAAUUAUAUGUGCUAAUAAUCGAUAGAGAGGGCAAUAAAAUGGGGGAAAAAAAUUGAUCUCUCUUUCCGAAAUGCGUGCAACUAACCAAUGCUUUCUUUCCUUAUUGUGGGCCAUGAGUACUUUUCCCAAGUGUAAAUCAUUUAUUGGGGAGGAAGAAAACAUUAAAGCAUGACGAGAGGAAAAAGAAGAAAUGAUGCCACAGAUAAAUAAGGACAAGAAAGAUCAACCUGCUAAUGAGCAUUUCAAAGCUUUCUCAACUCAAUAACACUAAUUGGGGAGAAGGGAUUGAUAAGGAAGUUAAACUAACAUGGAAGAGAGUUAGGAGAAGAGGAUUUACAAAAGCUUCUAGCAACACCAAAUGUAUCCUUUAAUAGGAAUUACAGAUAAAGGAUCCAUAAAUCUGCCUCCAAAUAAUUGGGACUGGGCUUGAUAAAUACAGCAUGGUACUAGUCACGGAAAAUGGGCCCUUCUCAAAAACAGAUUAAAAAUCCAAGCCUUUGCCAUCAAAAUGGUGUCAGACAUGUUGCAUAAUCCUAAGUAUAAACUUAAUGGUAGGAUUAUUAUUUCUGCGAAUAAGUAGGAUUCAUCAGAUUUUUGUCAUUCAGCCCUUUGAAAAUUGGAGCAAAAUUCCUAGACAAGGGAACUCUACGCAAGAGGGGCCUUUUAUGGAAUAGAAGGCACAUUAGCAGGUAAGGGACCUACCUUAUUGGUUGCAGUUUCAGCUUGUGCUUCUUGUCACGGAGGGUGGGGGGGCCUUAAAGAUAAUAUUGUCUUAAUCAUAUGAAAAAAGUUGACCAUAUAAUUUCAAAUGGAUAAAUCAGAGUAAUCAAGGUAUAGAAAGUCAUAAUGUUUUUUUUUUUUUACAAAAUUAAGAAGUAAUGUCCAUUAAACAUAUGUUAUUGGGAAUUUAGUUAUUUUUAAUUUUCUCAAAUUUCAGAAAAUCUCAGGCAGCAAAUAAUGAACCAACAUUGACCAAAAUACAAUUUAAAAAGUCAGAGUAUGCACAAGAUAAUAUAUUUUUGCAUGAGGGAUAUCUUCUAUAAGAAAGGAUUGAAAUUAAAUAUUGGAUGGAUCUAAAUAACCAAGUAAAUUAGUCACUACCAGCCAAAUAUAUCUUAGCAAACAUGAAGAUGAAUGGUAUUGCAAGAUACUAGGACUUACACCCAUUUGGGAUCUGGAGCACCACAAUCUGCACAAAUACGAUUAUCACUUUUAAGCAUAAGCUCCUUUAGUUUCCUUGGUGUGCCUGUCACAGAAAUGAGGGAAAAUUAGUUGAAAACAAGCUUUAACCGGAUGUGUAUUCACUUCUUGUGAAGAUCUGCAUACUUGUUCUCAUUAAAUCAUUACAAAUAAGCACAUAUGUUAUCUCAAUAUGAAGUAUAAAAGUAUUCUGCAUAGUAUCACACCAUCUUCUAUGUGCAGCAUAAUUCUAUGAAGAUGAGCAGAUUUAGUGAACAAUAUCACAAACAUUUUACCUAAAGCUGCAGAAGAUAUCCUAAGUAUAUGUUUGAAAGAAAAUCGUAUCAUAAAUGGCCAAAGGCCUCAUACCACAAGAAGUGAAGGUUCUAUAUUUCUCUUCAUCAAUGACUCCUGUAAAAGGUAAUGUAUUUGUAGAUGUAAUAAACUUCCAUAAAAAUCUAUCCACCACACUCUGUUAAUCCUCUUAGUUACAAAUAUGAGCCCUCUUCUUAAGAGGUAUUAGUAUGCUGACAAUAUAAUACAUGACCAAAACAGCAUCAGAAGCUCUUUUUAACUUGGUAAUGUAAAUAGACUCACAAACACCUUGAUCUAAAAGAUAAUGUGCUCAUCCAAAAGGCCAGGGAUCAAACUAGAUAAGCCAUUUACACACAUGUACGACAUGAGAAAGACCGAGAACUACAUAUUAUUGAUAAAUAACACAGUGCUCUAAUGAGUGCCAGUGAAGAUGGAUGAUGAUGGCAAUGACAAUAGCAAGCAAGCAAGCAUGCACGCACUUACUUAUAUAGAAUAAACAUCAAGUAUUAAACUACUAGUUAUAUGUCAAGGAUAUAUAACUGUACCUGAGACAGGCUUGUCAUUCUUGGAGUAACGAUUACUCAUCUCUUCACUUGGCAAACCUUGAUCAACCACCAGAUUAUAUCUCGAUCUACAUCACCAAAACACCAGCCACGAUAAAAGCCUCAUGAAUCAAUAUAGCCAAUUAAAAGUGAAAAUUAAGCUUUCCAUGACAUGCACUUUUUAUUAGUCUUCCAACACUAUAGCAGUUCUAUCAAAGAGAGACCAAGAAUUGAAAACAGAAAAAGGAUCAACUUAAUUUACAGACCACAUUUAGAACAAUAAAACUAUGAGUUCCCUAUUUUCUUUUGUUUUUUUAAAAAAAGCACCACCAAAUCAAUUAUUAGAAAUUUAGGAAUGCUAACAAUAUGAAUACCAUAUAAGUGAACAGAAAGCAACCAACUUAAAAAGAUAGAUCAGAUUCAAGGUUUGCAAUAUCCAUGCUUGUGAAAACAGCUACGAAUUCCUGUAGUUGUGCAUCAAAAUAAUAAAACACACUUCCUUAAACUCUCAAACCAGGAAUUAAAAAGGCACGCCAUAAUUAACACCGAUCUCUUCCUAUCCAAAUAAAACAACGCGAUCACGAUUUCAUAAUGACUUUCCUCUCGCAAAAUAGAAUCUCUCUCGAUCCAUAAACAUAAGGGAGCGACAUUUAUGAAAACAGAUCGAACACAAACCAGAUUAAACUUCAAGAAAACGAUCAGAUCUCUAAAAAUAUAAUCUUUCAUUGAAACGGAGACAGAAGAGCAUAUUCUCCGAAACAAAAGGGGAAAAUUUUUGCAUCACAUCAGUAAACAAAAGUACCGAGUUUUGAAUCGAAAUUGAUGGCUUGAAUUGGGAUCGAUCAUACGGGAGAAUGUGAAAGGCGAUACGAUCGAAAUCCUUCGGCUUCCCACAGCCGUGUGGGGCUUGGACUUUCGGCCUUCUCUGAAGGCUAUCCUAUCUGUUCUUCGAAUUUAAAAAUUGAGAAACCUCUCCUAUCGAGGCCUCCAAAUAACGAGCAAUUCUAUCACACCGAGUCCGUUUGUAUCAACUGUAACCCGGCAGUCCGGCACCGGCCGGUCCAGGAGUACCACCCCAACCACCCGUCCGCUUCGGCCUUCGAGGCGGUUACCAGUCCGGUUCACGUUUCACCCGGCCCGACUUUGUGUCAAGAAGCAUUAGCUUUGUUCAAUUACUGUGGGCAAUGUUUCAAACUCUAAGCCAAGUCAAACCGUGUGGUGAGCGAGUGAGGUUUGAACUUUGAAACCUAAUGCCGGAUGGGAGCCAAUCCAAGUUGACCCCGCUCGUUUUAAACCAUUAUAGUUCGUUACUUCGUUUUUUUUUUCCUCCUGUUUUUAGUAACCUCUAGUUUGUUUCUCUUUGAAGCUAUUCUUUUACAUUGCAUGGAUGCAGAAGUUACUGCCAGUUUGUGGGUUGUAACUGACUCGAUAGUUGACAAAAGCCGCCAUUUUUUGAAUCUUAAGGUUAGCAUGUACGAAAGAGUAAAAUUAGUUAUGAAAUAAUGGAUGUGCAUACAUGGGGUCUUUGUCCAAUGAUUGUUUAAAUAAUGGCCAAAUCAUAGAGGACAAGAAAAAGAUCAGAUUGGAGGUGCCAUGCAACUUAGAAGUAUAUUCCAUACAGGAGCAGCAAUCAUCAAUUAUGUGAUUAAACUUUCAAUGGGAUGGGGAUUAUAGCAAUGAAGGCAAUUUUUUUGCUUAGUUAGCUAGUGCCAUGAGCAUUAUAUAGUUGUGAAAGACUUAUUACCGGGUGUCAUGCCCCGAAUAUCCUACGGAAUGUGACCACGAAAUGUAUAAGGCCUCAAAAUCUAUGUAAGAACAUUGAAGGUAGUUCUAGGUAUGGACCAAGAGGAACUGCUGUAGGAAAUUAAUUGAAACUUUGCAAUGUGAAACCAUGCAGUAUCGGACACGCAAAUAGUAUUGAUGACGCCAUUUUCACUAUUUUUAAACAUUAGAAUUGAUAAAGGGAAAAACGGAUCAUUCAUCCCACAACUAAAAGGCCCCCCCCAGUUUCGGCCCAGUAAAUACCAACGACGAAUGACUAAACCUUCACCUUAGCCUAGAGCCAGCUCGUCCUCGGAACACCACCAACUCCGGAUAUUCGCCGACUCCCCCAACCGAGCUCGGGGUAUCUCCCGAUAAAUGCGAACCCAUCUCGACCAAGUUCGAGACGCCAACCCCAGUAAUGUAUAGCAUACGCUCCGACCCUCGUACUCGGAGCACUUCCUUAAGUACAUCUCGAAACUCGAAAAACCGAGCCCUUCCAGCCUACACCAAGCCGGCCUCACUAAACGCAUGACGUGACUAUUUAAUGAGCUUGGCCUCGCCAACAACCACAUCCACGUGCAGGCCCACGCCCACCUACGCGGCUGUACUCCACCACACUGCCGCAUCAUGCCUCCAUAACUGGCCAACAGCAGUCAGACGGCACCUUGACUACUCCGGCUAUACCCUGCUGUGACUAUCAACGCCCUACCAUUCCUAAGAACGGGCUGUACCACACGUCACCUGCCUACCUGAGCUGCACGCCAUCCGGCUCAGAGCCAUACCCUCUCAUGAUGGGGAUUGACAGUACCUCCAUCACCCGGGCCACUCCACCAAGGCUAUAAAUAGUUCGGUCAGGUAAUUUCUAAAGGAGGCUCUCUUGGCUGGUCCAAACAUUUGCCUGCUCUAACUUGAUUGUCGGAGGGCCCUCACCAGAAAAAUCGGUGAGGCUUUGUGCAGGUCCGCGGCCGUCAUGCAGGAGUUGGUUCCCGUCUUCCCCUCUCCACACCAGCGGCUCCCUCAGCUCAACCGGCCUGGUCACCCUCGGGCCAGAUUUGAACCACAACAUAUUUGGCGCUAGAGGAAGGGCUUGAGUCGUGAUCGCGAGGAUAAUAAGCCAAGGGGCCCCAAACGCAUCGAGCAGCCGGGAAUCAAUGCCCGACUGCUCUCUCCAAGGUCCACCUCCAGCAUCACCCGUCCCUGCGGACCAAACCUCUUUGAUCCAGCUAGGGCAGUUCUACCUGCUCGCCCAGCAAGUCUAAACCCUGGCCGUGGUUAUCCAAACUCUUCAUCCAGCUGGAGCUCCAUCAAUCACCGCCCUACGUUGAUGCCGCCCUGGCCCUGAGGGGCCGGGGGAAGGCCACGCUCACCGGCCCGAGGCUGAUGACCCCAGUUGCAAAUUACUCCCCCAAGGGAGGACCUUGGCCCCCUUCAAGUCAAGGCUUUCUUCCUUAGACUGUAAUCUAAUGAAGUUAUCUUUCGGAAUUCUUCCGAGGUGUCUCUAAAGUAUCUUAGGAGGCUCGACGCACAUUCGAUAUCCCGGCAGCGCGAAUCAUACACCUUGAGGAGCAUCUACAAAGUCACCCUUUGAGCUCGGCUCGAGAUGCCCUGCGGUGUCAACGGGGAGCCUAGGCAGAGCACUCCCGUCCGCAGGAUUCUACAAGUUCGCCCCUGAUCUGAGUGGAGGGCAUCUACAAAGUCGCCCUUUGAGCUCGGCUCGGGGUGCCCUGCGGCGUCAACGGGGAGCCUAGGCAGAGCACCCCCGUUUGCAGGAUUCUACGAGUUCGCCCCGAUCUGAAUGGGAGACAUCUACAAAGUCACCCUUUGAGCUCGACUCGGGGUGCCCUGUGGCGUCAACGGGGAGCCUAGGCAGAGCACCCCUAUCUGCAGGAUUCUACGAGUUCGCCCCUGAUCCACAAGACAUUCGGGUGGAUGUCUAUCCCCGAACUUAUUAUUCUCGAGGUGGCUUCAGCCCCUCAAGUGGAUUUCUAAGUCUCGAGGUGGCUUCGGCCCCUCGAGCAAAUUUCUACGUUCAGGUGGAUGUCUAUCCCCGAACUUAUUAUUUCCGAGGUNNNNNNNNNNNNNNNNNNNNNNNNNNNNNNNNNNNNNNNNNNNNNNNNNNNNNNNNNNNNNNNNNNNNNNNNNNNNNNNNNNNNNNNNNNNNNNNNNNNNNNNNNNNNNNNNNNNNNNNNNNNNNNNNNNNNNNNNNNNNNNNNNNNNNNNNNNNNNNNNNNNNNNNNNNNNNNNNNNNNNNNNNNNNNNNNNNNNNNNNNNNNNNNNNNNNNNNNNNNNNNNNNNNNNNNNNNNNNNNNNNNNNNNNNNNNNNNNNNNNNNNNNNNNNNNNNNNNNNNNNNNNNNNNNNNNNNNNNNNNNNNNNNNNNNNNNNNNNNNNNNNNNNNNNNNNNNNNNNNNNNNNNNNNNNNNNNNNNNNNNNNNNNNNNNNNNNNNNNNNNNNNNNNNNNNNNNNNNNNNNNNNNNNNNNNNNNNNNNNNNNNNNNNNNNNNNNNNNNNNNNNNNNNNNNNNNNNNNNNNNNNNNNNNNNNNNNNNNNNNNNNNNNNNNNNNNNNNNNNNNNNNNNNNNNNNNNNNNNNNNNNNNNNNNNNNNNNNNNNNNNNNNNNNNNNNNNNNNNNNNNNNNNNNNNNNNNNNNNNNNNNNNNNNNNNNNNNNNNNNNNNNNNNNNNNNNNNNNNNNNNNNNNNNNNNNNNNNNNNNNNNNNNNNNNNNNNNNNNNNNNNNNNNNNNNNNNNNNNNNNNNNNNNNNNNNNNNNNNNNNNNNNNNNNNNNNNNNNNNNNNNNNNNNNNNNNNNNNNNNNNNNNNNNNNNNNNNNNNNNNNNNNNNNNNNNNNNNNNNNNNNNNNNNNNNNNNNNNNNNNNNNNNNNNNNNNNNNNNNNNNNNNNNNNNNNNNNNNNNNNNNNNNNNNNNNNNNNNNNNNNNNNNNNNNNNNNNNNNNNNNNNNNNNNNNNNNNNNNNNNNNNNNNNNNNNNNNNNNNNNNNNNNNNNNNNNNNNNNNNNNNNNNNNNNNNNNNNNNNNNNNNNNNNNNNNNNNNNNNNNNNNNNNNNNNNNNNNNNNNNNNNNNNNNNNNNNNNNNNNNNNNNNNNNNNNNNNNNNNNNNNNNNNNNNNNNNNNNNNNNNNNNNNNNNNNNNNNNNNNNNNNNNNNNNNNNNNNNNNNNNNNNNNNNNNNNNNNNNNNNNNNNNNNNNNNNNNNNNNNNNNNNNNNNNNNNNNNNNNNNNNNNNNNNNNNNNNNNNNNNNNNNNNNNNNNNNNNNNNNNNNNNNNNNNNNNNNNNNNNNNNNNNNNNNNNNNNNNNNNNNNNNNNNNNNNNNNNNNNNNNNNNNNNNNNNNNNNNNNNNNNNNNNNNNNNNNNNNNNNNNNNNNNNNNNNNNNNNNNNNNNNNNNNNNNNNNNNNNNNNNNNNNNNNNNNNNNNNNNNNNNNNNNNNNNNNNNNNNNNNNNNNNNNNNNNNNNNNNNNNNNNNNNNNNNNNNNNNNNNNNNNNNNNNNNNNNNNNNNNNNNNNNNNNNNNNNNNNNNNNNNNNNNNNNNNNNNNNNNNNNNNNNNNNNNNNNNNNNNNNNNNNNNNNNNNNNNNNNNNNNNNNNNNNNNNNNNNNNNNNNNNNNNNNNNNNNNNNNNNNNNNNNNNNNNNNNNNNNNNNNNNNNNNNNNNNNNNNNNNNNNNNNNNNNNNNNNNNNNNNNNNNNNNNNNNNNNNNNNNNNNNNNNNNNNNNNNNNNNNNNNNNNNNNNNNNNNNNNNNNNNNNNNNNNNNNNNNNNNNNNNNNNNNNNNNNNNNNNNNNNNNNNNNNNNNNNNNNNNNNNNNNNCUCAAGAUGGCUUCGGCCCCUGAGCAAAUUUCUAUGUUCGGACGGAUGUCUAUCCCCAAACUUAUUAUUCUCGAGGUGGCUUCGGCUCCUCGGGUGGAUUUCUAUGUCUCGAGGGGCUUCGGUCCCUCGAGCAAAUUUCUACGUUCGGAUGGAUGUCUAUCCCCGAACUUAUUAUUCCGAGGUGGCUUCGACCCCUCGGUGGAUUUCUAAGUCUCAAGGUGGCUUCGGCCCCUCGACAAAUUUCUACAUUCGGAUGGAUGUCUAUCCCCGAACUUACCUACGCGCCUGAGUUAACAAAAGCCCUUGGACGAGCCUCUAUCCUUGAGAUAAUCUACGAUCGCUUCUUUCGCUCUUCCGGGCAAGGCUUGGAAUGGCCCACGCUAUUAAAUGAAGAGCUGCGAGCUCGUUUCCCACGAGAUCUAUCCUAGGGGUAUACCAAACUUGGAGUUCCUCCAAGUACUAAGCGCUGCUCCUGCUGUGUAAAACGGGCCCGAGUUUGAGUCACAUAAUUCGAAUCUUAAUACCUAGGCACGAGACAGAGCAAACUCAAA